GAUUGUUGGGCAACGCAAGUGGGCUUAGAGACAUAUGGUCAAAACUGGGAAGAUAUAGCCUGGUCACCUAUAUUAUUCGAGGGUUGACUAGCAUGUGCCUAUGUUUAAUUGUGUGGUUGCAACAAUGCUAAAAUCUUACCUACCCUACCAUAAUAAGAACAGUAGAACAUAACAUUAAACUUAAAAUACUAUAGGAGUAUUUGGUGUUACUAUAAGUACUUCAUACUUGAGAACUAAAGCAGGAUCUUCAUUACUAAGUUGAUAGUUGCUAAGUGGAUACACUAAGGCUAUAUGUAAUUAGGAUGUUAUAGACUUAGAAUCUAUGAAAAUUUUGACUUCACCCCUAUUCUGUGUGAAUAUGGAGUUAAGGUCACUUAUUCGAAGGUCUAUCCUGUUUAGAUUACACAUAACUGGUAUGCACUUCACAAAUAGCAAUGUAACUAAUGAAGGUUUUCUAAAUAAUUAUCUAGAUAGUUCGUCUAAUAAUUAUGCUCUUACCCUAAAUUCUCGCAUAGAAAACAUAGCUGGACUCCAUCCCCACAGCAACGAGUAUCUUCCGAACAAAUUCAUUGUUGGUUGGUUUGGAGAAGAACCAGGGAAUGAUCAUCCUAUCCCCGUGAAUGAUCACCAUGAUGAAAACCUUUCAGACGGUGCUAACUCCGAACCAGAGGUUGAGAACCUACCCCAAGCAGCUCCCUUCCCAAUUCCUAACCCUCGUCCGGCUUUUCAUGGCCCGACCCCUGAGUGGGUGGAAUGCUUGGAAACAUGGAGCCAAGGACAAGAUCAGCCCAUGCCAUUUGAUGGUGACCGAAGCUUUUAUGACCUAACCAAUGGGGGCUCAGCAGACAGAACCUUGCCAAUCUUUGUCCGCAGAGUGGCCCGAAAUGAGAUUGAAGGCAGGACAACCCUACAUCAGAUUACCGAAGUUGUCGCCGAUGCGAGAAUGCAUACCCUUUGUAGCAUUCGUCUAGAAGAUGCUCGCGAGAGAUCAGAGAGAAACCAUGAAACCCUACUUCAAGCACUGGCUGAAUCAUGAGCCGAAGUAAUAGAGCUCCGAGUACGCCAGAGGGUGUACGAAAGACACCUACUUGACAUGGAACGUCAAUUGGCUGAACUGAGAGUUCACCAGAGGGAUGACCGUCGCCAGUAAUAGACGCUUUACUUUAUUUUCCCUAUUAAAAGAAAUUGUUUUUCUGUCUAUGCCCGAUGUGGCAUUUUCUAUGAAAUUGUCUUGUACUGUAAGUACUUUUGGAUAGGUCUUUAUGUUGUCAAGAACUAUCUUCUCUGGAUAUGAUGUAAAACCUUUACAAGGUCAUUUUCCCAAAUCUUUAUGUUGUGAAUAUCAAAGAUAUUGACAGCCGGCUAACUUCUGUGUCAUUCUUUAUUCAAGUACUCUUAUCAUACUUUCAUGGGAGUCUAUCUGAAACCUGGUUUAGUCAAGUCAUUCGACUAUAGCAAUUUAGCUCCGGAGACAUUUCCAGGUCUCUUUUAAUGGUUGGAUCUUGUUACUCACCAACCAACGAUACCUCGGCUUGAACAACAAACGUCUUGACACCGUUCUACAACCUCACUUCCAUUCUGUACUAGGACUGCAUCAUAGGGAUGUAGGUCAAAUUUUCGAGAACAUAGUCGUACUCUUUACUUGAACAAUCGAAGUACCCCUAGGGUCAACCAGAAUUGCUAACAAAAUCCUUAUCUUUCGUGUUACAGAAUCAUGUCGUCAUCCGGAAGCAAUCAGUCGAACGACGAAACCUCCGCCUUUCCUAUGGACGCCACACCUUCCAAAUAGCAGUUACAGUUGCCAUGCUAGCUACUGUAACCGCUGUCCUUGCGCAUCGUAGUGCUAUCAGCACAAUCAAUGCUGAUGAUGGAAUUGAAGUUUCCAAUCGUGGUAUCCAUCUAGGAAGUCGCCAAACAGUAACAGUCACAGACUCGCAAAGCCGAGAGACAAAGAACAAGAAACGAAGGCGUCAAGUCUAGAAAGAACGCAAGAAAUCCCAAAAACUUGCCAUGCAACAACAGCAAGUGGAAACCCAUGCCAUCCCCGUACCGAGCAGACCAUACAAAGGAACACUCCCGAAGUGCGACCGGUGCAACUACCGCCACGAGGGAAUCUGCCGAGCCUUGCAAUGCGAUAAUUGCAACAAGAUGGGACACAUUACUCAUUUUUGUAGAACUACCCCCACCACUGGAGCAAGCCGAGUUUGCUAUAAUUGUGGUGAGUUUGGGCACUAUAAAAGAGAUUGCCCGAAAAAGGAAAUCAAGGAAAGAACCCGCAUCCCCAUAAAUCCCACUCGACACUUCACUUCCACCACCAAUGUUGGUGCUGUCCAUAUAUGCCACCAAUACGGUGAGAUAGGACACUUCCAGAAGGAUUGCCCGAUAGUUAAGAACUCGGGUGCGGAUGGGAAGAUUCUCAGGAUCACAGCUGCAGCAGAAAGUACGUCGGACCCCUCGUUAAUGUAAUUUAGGCGUGUUGUUGUAACAGACUUAUAAACUAUCCAAAACUAGUGCAACUAGAGUCUUACCUUUUGCGAGAUCCUGUCUGUAUAAGGAUGCUUGUGCUGCGUAUACUUGUCUUUUGUAGUAUACCUAAUUCGCAUCAAUAGUAUUGUCGUAAGUCUAAAGUACUGUAACUCUGUUCAUGGUUGCACGGUUGUGUUUUGUCUGUAAAUGUCUUAUGUUCAAAUCUAAUGUCUUUAAGUUUCAGUAUGAUUCUGACAUUAUCAUACGAAUCGAUUCAAUCUGAUCUUCACGAAAACAGCUUCAUACGUACAUCUCUUUCUUCUAGAUUGCUUUUCCAGCGAAGCCGUCAUAUCAGAACACCGAAGUACUCAUGCCAGGAGUACCUCUUAGUUAUUUUCUUUCCGAAGAAAUCCUCGAAGUACCACUCGUGCAGUACGUCAAGUUUAAUCCAAGGAUUCAUGCGAUUGAUCUAUCACUGAGGAAUGUAUACAUAAGAGCGAUAUAUAAUCAGGGUUCUAUAGGUUUAGAAUUGAUGAUUCCACUUUAACUUCUUUUUCCCCGAUGGGAUGUGAGCUUAAAGAAGAAUCAGUUAUUCGACUACCUUUUCAAUCUUAAUUAUAUACAACUCGUAUACACGAAAUUGUGAUUGUGAAACCAUGUAUGAAUUCUAAAUUGAACUACAGGACGGAGAACUGCUCAAGACUACGAGUAAUCACAUCCGUCAUGUGAACAAACUUAGAACCCAGUAUGACUCCCGUAAACGGAUCGCCCUACAGCUUAAACACCUACGGAGACACAAGAACAGCCCGGACAACUUAACGAACUACACAAAAAUAGAAUUAGAAGACUAGGCUUCUCACCCUGGAGAACCCCGGUCAUAUUCUUCCAGAUAUAGAUGGAUCGCAUCGUAUGUACCUCGGCUAUUGAGUACUUCGUCAAGAUUUUUCAUUAGAAAUCGUUAUCUCUGCCUCGCAUAGAUGAAAUGGUUGAGCAAACACAAGGAAAGAAUUACUUCCAAGAAUGGAUCUGAGAUCCGAAUAUCGCCAGUUCGAGUGUUGGGGAAGGAUGUCCAUAAGACUAUCUUCCAAACUCGAUGCGGACUCUUUGAGUCCCUAGUGAUACCCCUCGGAUAGGACCAAUCCGCCCAUAGAUUUCAUGAGUUAAAUGAGUAGGGUACGUGUUUCUUAAUUGGAUCAGUUCGUCAUUUCUCCAUGUAAUGACUUACUUAUCUACCCUCGUAGUAAGAAGAAAACCCAUGGAAACAUUUCCUAUAGAGGAACUUUUAGCGAAGUUCUCUAGGCACGAGUUUGAAAUUGAAGAGUCGAAUUUCUAUGACACACUGUUAGUAAUGUGGGAAAUUUUGAGUACUCUUUCAGUUGGUCAAAACCGUUGAGAAUUUGUCGACACCAGAGAUGCCGACAGUCUAAUUCUAGGUCUUACAGACCUACUGUCAUAGUUCAUCCAGAAACCCUCGCAAAUCACAGGAAACCGUACGACCUUGACCCAUCAAGGAGUGGCCCUUGACUGGGAAGUUAAGCAAGAGAAAGAACCUUUGGAAUUCCAAGUGAGAGACCAAGUUCUUUAAGAAGUCUCACUCUGGGAAUGGCUUAAUACGCCUCGUAAAGCGUGGAAAGCUAAAUCCAAGAUAGACAGGACCUCCGAGAUUAUUACCAGAAUCGGUCCUGUACCUCGUGCAAACUAGACCUACUCCGCGAACUCAGUAACGUACAUUCUACUCUUCGCGUCUCGAUCGUGAAACCAUACCAUUCCGUUAGGACUCUUGUAAGUCCACUCGUCGAGAUCCUCGCCUUUGUAAUAGAACCGUAGUGACCCUCGACCAAGAGGUCAAGCGGACGAAGCAACGCCGUCGCUAGUUAGUGAAGGUUCGUUGGGAUACCAACCGAGGACCCGAUUUCACUUAGGAGAGCGAGAACCAAUCAAUUAGGAAGUUUCCACCUCAUGACUCGAUCAUUCAUACCUACUUCCUUACCUAAAUUCUAAUUUCAGGACGAAAUUCCCUUUAACAGGGGGAUGAUGUGACAACCCGAAAUUUCCAUUCUGAACAAACCAUAUCAAGCCAAUAGAAGUUAGAACAGUUACAGUGAAAUUCCAGACUUUGGGUAUAAGUUUGAGUAUUUCAGGUUUAGCACUUAAGGAGAUAUCAGGAGAGUGGAUGCACUAGGGUUUUGUGCAACACUGUUAUUCCAAUACUCUAGGAUAUUAGAGUUCAUUCCGGGAAUAAAAAAUUUCUGCCAAAAAUCUCAGGACUAUAUAUAGAAAUUUGAACCAAAUAAUUCAUUAGUUACAUUUCCAAUUAGAGAAAAGCCAAAUUCUCUCUCAUGGAUCUUUGGGUUUUUAUCCCAAAACGUGAGUACCUUUCUCUAGUUGUAUUAUAUGGCUUAUAAUGUGCUUAAUAACAUCAAUUUCAUAAAAAAACAACUAGAUUCGGGAGUUUACCGCCCAAGAACACGCGGAGAGUAAACUCCAUUUUAAGGGCCAAAAGUGUCCCAAAGCCCCUCAAAUCCUUAGAACUCAACAUAGGGACUAGCAUUACAUGUUUUAGACUAAAAAACAAUUAAGAAUCAAGGGUGAAAGUGAGUUCACGACCAAGGAGAUUCUUGGGCCGUGAACUCCAUGUUUAGGUGUCAAAAUGCCUUGAAAAUCUUCCUUAAGCCAAGGGACAAAUUAGGACAAGUACCCUAGAGUGUUUGGAGCAAGCAAACACUAUUAAAACACCAAGAAAAGGGUGUUCACGGCCCAAGAUGUUCCAGGGCCGUGAACUCCAAUAAAUGGUGCCAAAUGGUGCCAUAAAUCCUCCUAAAUCCUUGAAAACUUGCCUUGAUGCAUUCCUUGAUAAUAUAGGGACUUGAAAGCACCAUAAACUUUCCCCCAAAGGAGAUUAUGGCCAUAAUCUCCAUGAGAUAUGGUCCCAGGGCCGUAAACCCCUAUAAAAGGGGGCAAAUGUCACCCAAACACUUGAUUAAGCCUUGAAAUAAUUCACCAAACUAGUUGUCUAAAUGAUAGGCUUCAUUUAGAGACCUCAUUGAGAUUUUACGGCCAGGAGUUUACUCCCCUGGGCCGUAAACUCCAAAUCAUAUGUUCAUUUGACCAUAAACCCCCAUNACUCCUUUGUUGCAACCCAUUUGCCUCCUAGCACUUGACCAAAAGUGUUUUCCUCGCAUUAAAAUGCUUAUACUUGUAUAAUUAGUGUUUUAAUCACUAAUUAUUUAUAUACAUAUGUCUUCAUAUGUAAUUAGGACCAUUGUGUGUGUCUAAAGUCUUCACUUGACACCAAGCACUUGUCCGAUCCUUCCUUACGAUAACAGUCCGUUCAAUUCCAAUCACUUACAACAGGUGAGUUCAUACCCCUUAAUCAAUGUUUUAACUGUUUAUAAAUGUUUUAUGGGGGGGAUACAAGUAGAAUAAUGCUAGUUAUUAUAUUAAUCACAUGUGAUUAAUAAGCAGCAGUUAAAUGGUUGGCUACUCAUUAGCCGUUUUACCAAACAGUUUCCUUCAAAUGAUUUUUAUAAACAUUUUAUAUGUUUUAAACUCUUUAUUACACUGUACAUUUUACUCUGUGUAUUACAUUUCAAACUUAUUUACAAUUGUGUUUCAAACAAAAGUUUCUUUAUACUAAACUGUUUUAUCAAACCCAUGCCUUCAAAACCGUUUUAUAGAUCGACAUCAAGUCGAUCUUUUCUUAAAGAUAAUAAUUAUGUUCAAAGGUUUUACAAAACUUAUUUAUGCUUUUAUAUUAUAAAUUGCAUGCCUCUAUAUGUAUAGUUAUAUAAGAAAUGUUUAAAAGACUUAGGAAGGCUAUCCACCCUAUUUCCUUUUCGCGCUUGAGAUGUGGUCUGGUGGGAUAUCGGGUACUCGUCCGAAGGUCGUUUAAAUAUUAGUUAUAUANNNNNNNNNNNNNNNNNNNNNNNNNNNNNNNNNNNNNNNNNNNNNNNNNNNNNNNNNNNNNNNNNNNNNNNNNNNNNNNNNNNNNNNNNNNNNNNNNNNNNNNNNNNNNNNNNNNNNNNNNNNNNNNNNNNNNNNNNNNNNNNNNNNNNNNNNNNNNNNNNNNNNNNNNNNNNNNNNNNNNNNNNNNNNNNNNNNNNNNNNNNNNNNNNNNNNNNNNNNNNNNNNNNNNNNNNNNNNNNNNNNNNNNNNNNNNNNNNNNNNNNNNNNNNNNNNNNNNNNNNNNNNNNNNNNNNNNNNNNNNNNNNNNNNNNNNNNNNNNNNNNNNNNNNNNNNNNNNNNNNNNNNNNNNNNNNNNNNNNNNNNNNNNNNNNNNNNNNNNNNNNNNNNNNNNNNNNNNNNNNNNNNNNNNNNNNNNNNNNNNNNNNNNNNNNNNNNNNNNNNNNNNNNNNNNNNNNNNNNNNNNNNNNNNNNNNNNNNNNNNNNNNNNNNNNNNNNNNNNNNNNNNNNNNNNNNNNNNNNNNNNNNNNNNNNNNNNNNNNNNNNNNNNNNNNNNNNNNNNNNNNNNNNNNNNNNNNNNNNNNNNNNNNNNNNNNNNNNNNNNNNNNNNNNNNNNNNNNNNNNNNNNNNNNNNNNNNNNNNNNNNNNNNNNNNNNNNNNNNNNNNNNNNNNNNNNNNNNNNNNNNNNNNNNNNNNNNNNNNNNNNNNNNNNNNNNNNNNNNNNNNNNNNNNNNNNNNNNNNNNNNNNNNNNNNNNNNNNNNNNNNNNNNNNNNNNNNNNNNNNNNNNNNNNNNNNNNNNNNNNNNNNNNNNNNNNNNNNNNNNNNNNNNNNNNNNNNNNNNNNNNNNNNNNNNNNNNNNNNNNNNNNNNNNNNNNNNNNNNNNNNNNNNNNNNNNNNNNNNNNNNNNNNNNNNNNNNNNNNNNNNNNNNNNNNNNNNNNNNNNNNNNNNNNNNNNNNNNNNNNNNNNNNNNNNNNNNNNNNNNNNNNNNNNNNNNNNNNNNNNNNNNNNNNNNNNNNNNNNNNNNNNNNNNNNNNNNNNNNNNNNNNNNNNNNNNNNNNNNNNNNNNNNNNNNNNNNNNNNNNNNNNNNNNNNNNNNNNNNNNNNNNNNNNNNNNNNNNNNNNNNNNNNNNNNNNNNNNNNNNNNNNNNNNNNNNNNNNNNNNNNNNNNNNNNNNNNNNNNNNNNNNNNNNNNNNNNNNNNNNNNNNNNNNNNNNNNNNNNNNNNNNNNNNNNNNNNNNNNNNNNNNNNNNNNNNNNNNNNNNNNNNNNNNNNNNNNNNNNNNNNNNNNNNNNNNNNNNNNNNNNNNNNNNNNNNNNNNNNNNNNNNNNNNNNNNNNNNNNNNNNNNNNNNNNNNNNNNNNNNNNNNNNNNNNNNNNNNNNNNNNNNNNNNNNNNNNNNNNNNNNNNNNNNNNNNNNNNNNNNNNNNNNNNNNNNNNNNNNNNNNNNNNNNNNNNNNNNNNNNNNNNNNNNNNNNNNNNNNNNNNNNNNNNNNNNNNNNNNNNNNNNNNNNNNNNNNNNNNNNNNNNNNNNNNNNNNNNNNNNNNNNNNNNNNNNNNNNNNNNNNNNNNNNNNNNNNNNNNNNNNNNNNNNNNNNNNNNNNNNNNNNNNNNNNNNNNNNNNNNNNNNNNNNNNNNNNNNNNNNNNNNNNNNNNNNNNNNNNNNNNNNNNNNNNNNNNNNNNNNNNNNNNNNNNNNNNNNNNNNNNNNNNNNNNNNNNNNNNNNNNNNNNNNNNNNNNNNNNNNNNNNNNNNNNNNNNNNNNNNNNNNNNNNCAAGAUGUGAAGGAUGGGAAAGUUAAACCCAACCAUGCAGGUAUUUACACUAUCUUAUCUAAUAACUCACCCCAUUCUAAUUCUUGGGUCCUUGAUACCGGUUGUGGUAUUCAUAUAUGUUCUGAUUUACAGGGACUAAGAAGAAGUGAGGAUGUGGAGCAAGGAAGAAUAAACUUGAUCAUGGGAAACAGGAAAGCUUCACCUGUCACCAAGAUUGGAGUUUAUACUUUAUCGCUAAGUAGUGGGUUUAGUUUAGAUUUGAAUAAGUGCUGUUAUUCGCCAGAAAUGGCAAGAAAUAUUAUUUCCAUUAAUGCAGUGUAUAAACAAGGUUUCACCUUUUCAUUUGAUAAUGAAGUUGGUUCGAUUAAUGCUUUCUUUAAUAAUGUUCUUUAUUUUAAAGCAUUACCUUGUGAUGGCGUGUAUGAAACAGUAUCUAUGGUUAAUUACUUAGGAAAUAAUGUAUUGUGUAUUGAUUCUCACAAGAAAGGAGAGUUACCCAUCCAGAGUAACGCCAGAUUGAGUAAGACACAAAGCCCAAGUACCGAGGCUGAGAUAGCAGAAAUGAGUCAAGUACUUUAUGCUUCAGCAGUAGGCUCGAUCAUGUAUGCUAUGACGUGUACUCGACCUAAUGUAGCUUUUGCCUUGAGCAUGGUUAGCAGGUAUCAGGCGAACCCUGGCAAGGCACACUGGACUGCGGUAAAGAAUAUUCUCAAGUACCUACGGAGGACUAAGGACUGGGUCCUUACCCUCGGUGGGAGUGAUGACUUGAGAGUUGUAGGGUAUAGUGAUGCUAGCUUCCAGACUGAUAGGGAUAAUUUCCGCUCUCAGUCGGGCUGGGUCUUUACCCUAAACGGAGGAGCAAUCACUUGGAAGAGUUCCAAGCAGGAGACAGUGGCUGAUUCCACUUGUGAAUCAGAGUAUAUAGCAGCGAGCGAGGCAGCAAAGGAGGCAAUAUGGCUGAAGAACUUCAUUGGAGACCUUGGAGUUGUAUCAGCUAUAAAGGAGCUCAUGGAAAUUUCUUGUGAUAGUGAAAGUACUGUUGCCUUAGCCAAGGAACCAAGGGAUCACGGUAGAUCUAGACACAUCGACAAAAAACNAAGAGGGUAUCAUCGGAUGAGAACCCAGCAGAUCCCCUCACGAAGGGACUGAGUAGGGUUAAGCAUCUCCAGCAUGCUCGGAGCAUAGGGCUGAAGGAUGAUAUAAGUUUUAGUAGUUAGAUAAAUUAUGAAAUUUGUAAAGUGUAAUUGACAUUUGAUGAUGAAUAAAAGUUGUGUUUAUUUAUGAGUAAAGUGUUACUAUCUUUUGUCAAUCGUUUACUAUAAUUUCUUUUGCAUGUUUUGACUUCCAGAAUAGUAUGUUGUGGUUUCACAUAUUAUUCAAACUUUCCACAGUCAGUCAUAUGUUGGAAGUAGAUAUGAAGUAAGACUGUCAUGAAGUUGGUUGUAGGUGUCAGGAUAUAAGACAACACUUCAUGAGUGCUCAUAAGUUCUGAGUAUUGGAAUCAACCCACGCUCACUGGAAUCACUUCAUGGAAUUUUAUCUCGAGUGAUCGUGAGACGGUAAUAUCAUAUAAGUCUUCAAACCUAGAGAUAUGAUUUGGUACUUACGAGUUGGUUAUGCAUUGUUUGUACGAAAACGCAUUGGUAACUCAAUGUUAUAAAACCUGCUUUUGUGUAUAAUCCAAUGAGUGGUAGAACAAGCAUAUGAGUCAAAGUUUAUCUGUUCCUUCUUGGAUUAGAAGCUGAUAUCUGGGCCCCUCGAUGAUUUUGUUUUGACCUAUGUACCGGGCCCGGUCAGAACUAAGUUGAUGUGUUCAAUUAAGUUCUUUGUCAAACAAAUCGGAAAUCGGGAAACAAACUGCUGGACAAUAAGUAAGACAUUGUUCCAUGUAUUUGUCCGGCUGAUAUCUAGAACAGAGGAUUAUAUGAUCACUUAUCUUAAAUGGCGUAUCAACAUCUUCUCAGUUCCGAGAGACCUUGAAAGAGCUACGAUUGCCGAUCGGUUCCUGAAGUAUUGCAGUUAUAGUUAUUAGACUUAUCCAAGUGGGAGACUGUUGGAUAAGGUGUCUAAGUCCAUAACUAUUUCUGGUAAAUACUUGACCCGACCCGGCAUGGUCCAUUUGGGUUGCAUGGCACCAUGCAAUUGGAUAAACUAAAUGAGAGAAAUAACACAUAUGGUUUAUUAAUAUAUUAUAAGUUCUAAUAUAUUAAUAAUAUUAUUUAAUUAGUUUUGAUCAAGAAUUAAUUUAGAAUUAAUUAAGUGAUCAAAAGAAUAACUAAUUAAAUAUAUCGGUAGAUUAUGUAAAUCUUCCAUAUCUUAUAUAGUGGGCUAAAAGGCUCCAUGGAUUAUCAAGUUGGGUUCCACCCAUAGGAUACUCCAUGGAGUUAACCCAUGGAUUGAGAAAUGAAGAGUCAUGUUACAUUAGGGUUUUACCUAAUGCAACACACUAUAUAAGGACCAUGUCUCUCCCCAAAAUCGGCUACACUAGUGAGACACUAGAGAAACAAGAGGGCUUGGCUGAUUUUGAGUGUGUUAGAGUAUUCUCUCAAGUUUAUACUUUGCAUUUGGUGUUGUGUGAAGCAUUUGAGGGAUCACAUUUGAGGUGCUAGGCUCACAAGGUUUCAAGGAACACUUUCAACAACAAGGUAUGUAGUUCUAUCUUUUAUACAAAGAAAAUUGUACCCCAUGUAUUAUACAAACAUAAAUCCAAUGUUAUUAGGGUUGCAUGUACAUUUAGGAAGUGUUAGAAUGCUCAAAACCCAUCAAACUAAUGAGCGCCAAGGCAGAGUUAAGUUCUAAGAGCCAAGGGCAAUCCUUUCUGCUCAUAGUGGAAGAAGCCAAAGAGGCAUUGAACAUCGUAGAUGGUACAUUCCUUGUUAACUCCAUACCUUCCUUAGUAUUAUUCGAUUUUGGAGCAAGUUGUUCAUUCGUAUCAAUGACGUUUAAAAAGAGCCUUAAUAACGUCAUAGGAGAUUUAGAACCUCCCCCAAGAGUAGAAAGAGUUGACAAUUGAACAGUUAAAGUAUUAAAGGUUUAUCCUAGUUUUACUUUAAGAAUUGAUGACGAUAUUUUCCCAAUAAAUCUCAUUCCCAUUCCUAUGCAAGAGAUGAACGUAAUAGUAAGUAUGGAUUGGCGAAACCAGUUCGAGGCCCUGAUCGACUAUAGAUAGAAUAUUGUAAGCGUUCAGACUCUUAGUAGGGGAGAACAUACUAUCUAAGGCGAAGAUUCCAAAAGUAGUUCAGCGUUUUGUUCCGCCGUUAGGGCUAGAAGGUACCUACAACAUGGUUGUGAGGGAUUCUUAACCUAUGUAAUCGAAACUUGAGAAGAGUAGAAGGAUGCCAUUCUAGAAGUUCCAUUAGUUUGUGAAUUCCCUAAUGUGUUUCCCAAGGACCUGCCUGGUGUGCUCCCAGAAUAAUAAGUAAAAUCAAAGAACGACUUAGCUCCUUGUGCAACACUAGUAGACAAGGAACCCUAUCGUCUUUCACCCCUAGAGAUGUAUGAAUUACCUAAUUAGCUUCAAGAGUUGGUGGACAACCAUGUAGUUUUCCUUGGGGAGCACCGAUUUUGUUUGUUAAGAAGAAGGAUGGGUCACACAUAAUGUUCAUCGACUAUAGGAAGGUCGAGUAAUCACAUAUGCCUCAAGACAGUUGAAGCCCCAUGAGGCUAAUUACUCGACACACGAUCUUGAGUUGGGAGUAGUGGUCUUUGCUCUCAAAAUUUGGAAGGAUUACUUUCAUGGAGUGUGAUGCACCAUCUACACAGACCACAAAAGCUUGGGAUAGCUAAUGGAUUAUCUCAACUUGAACAUGAGGCAACAUCGAUGGUUGGAUGUAGUGAAAGACUACGAAUGUGAAAUCCUUUACCAUCCAGGUUAAGCCAACAUAUGCACUAACUCGAAAGAUGACUAAUACACCAAUGAAGGGAAUAUGCUUAAGAAUGAUCAUAAUCACCCUAGUACUAGACACGGUCAAGAAAGAUCAGGGUGAAGCAGUCAAGGAAGAGAACCGAAAAAGAAAGAGAAUUGUGUGGCAAAUCUUAGCUUUUGACAUACACAUUCGUGGGUUGUUAAUCCUACAUGGAAAUGUUUUUUUCCAUACCCAGGAGGAACUAGACAAAUACUGAUGGAUGAGGAACAUAAGUCUAGGUUCUCGAUUCAUCUAGGAGCUACAAAGAUGUCUAGAGAUCUCAGACACAAUUACUGACGACCCUGUAUAAAAAGAGAUGUAGCAUGGUAUGUUGAGAGGUGUUUGACUUGUCGAAAGGACAAGGUUGAACACUAGAUGCCCCAUUGUAAGCAACAACCUCCUGAUAUCCCGAUGUUGAAGUAGGAGUAGAUAACGAUGGACUUCAUCACCAGGUUACCAAAGACUCCCCGUGGUGUGGAUACUAUUUAGGUGAUAGUGGAUAGGUUGACUAAGAAUUCCCACUUCCUACCUAUCCAAGAGAGUUCAUUGGCUAAAAAAACUAGCAGAGAUAUAUGUUAAAUAAGUAGUCUUUCGGCACAUAGUACCAAUUUCAAUAAUGUCGACAGAGAUGUUCGUUUCACUUCUCAGUUUUGGAGGAAGGUGAUGAGUUGAGCACGCGAUUUCAUAUUAGAAUAACUUAUCAUGCUCAGAACGAUGAUAAUGCAAGGACGAUACAAACCCUUGAAGACAUGCUAUGCGCACACAUGCUAGAUUUCGGUAGGAUCUAGUAUACUUAUCUACCAUUAGCCGAGUUCUCAUACAACAAGAGCUAUCACUCCAGUAUUGGUAGACCUCCCUUCGAGAUACUUUAUGGGAGAAAGUGUUAGACAUCAAUAUGUUGGGGAUAAGUGGGUCAACAAGUCAUGGGAAGUACUAAUGUUCUGAUCAAGACUACUAAACUUACCCAACAAGUACGAGAAACACUAAAAAUUACACAAAGUCUGAAAAAGAGUUACACGGAUCGUUGAAUGUUGGGUCUUGAUUUUUAGUUGGAGACCUCGUACUAUUUAAGGUUUCGCCAUGGAAUAGUUUCAUCCGGUUCUGAGAGAUGGGCAAGUUAGGCCCUAGGUAUAUUGGACCCUUUCGAGUUAUUGCUUGGGUAAGAAAAGUCACCUAUCAUUUGGAUAUACUAGAAGAACUUAGUCAGAUCCACAAAACCUUCCACGUUUCCCAUUUAAGGAAGUGCAUUAUGGAUGAAUCUGCAAUUAUACAUUUGGAGGAUAUUUACAUAGACGAACGUCUAAACUACGUGGAAAAACCAGUGGCGAUCCUAGAUAAGAAGACAAAAACCUUAAUCAACAAUGUGAUCAGUCUACUGAAGGUGCAGGGGCAACACCGAAAAGGAUUAGAAUGGACUUGGGAACUAGUAGAAGAGAUGAGAAGAAACUACCAAAAAAAUUUUAGUUAGAUUUCGAGGACAAAAUCCUUGUAAGUGGGGGAGAGUUGUAACACCCCAUUUUUACUACUUCCUUAGAUUGUACUAUUAAGAAAUUAUUAUGAAAUAAGAAGUAGAAAUAUAUUACUUUUCAUCCAAAAUAAUCAUCAUCAACAUGUAUAAAACAUUAAUACAAUUUCCGUAGAUAUAUAGAAUGCUUAAAUACGACUUUGUAUGAAGAAGUUAUGCAUCUUCGAAGUUUCACGAUUAAACCGACACAACUUUGCCAAUUGUAAAAAGUGAAUUUUAGAUAGGUUGCUCAUUAGCCUAAGUAAUCUAAAUGAAAGUCAUAGAAAUCAUAAAACGAAGACUAUGCUUACAGAGAACGUCCAAAUAUGACUUCGUAUGAGGAAGUUAUGAUUUUUAGAAGUUUCAGCACAACAUUGUGCGACACAGAAACCAAAAAUUAAGAUCAGUCGAUUUUUAGGAAAAAGAAUCUAAAGGAGAGUUAAAUAUCAAUUUGAUAUGAUUUCAUCGAUAUAAAGACAAUCAAGAACGGAGUCCGUAUGAAAGAGUUAUGUAUUUUUAAUGGUCGUCACUAGUGUAAUCUUCAUGGACUGUUAAAUUUAAGAUCUCUUGAGAAUUAGCUGACAAAGUCAAAAUGAAAGUUGUAGUACUCGUCGAUAGCUAUGUGUGGAUUUAACAAAAGUCAAAAACAAAGCUCGUAUGAGAGAGAUACAAUUUUUAGAAGAUCAUCGAUUUUACCUAGCAUGGGAGGCCAAGAUAGCGCCACAUGUCUUACACAGUUGCACCCAACCGACCUACCACAUGGUGCGGUGCGCCUGCUAUGCAUGGAUGGUGUACCUUUUUACUAUAAAUAGGAUGGUUGUGAUUUAGUUGUUCCUCAUCCCAAUAUUCACUCUAAAAAAUCUCCAGAGACCCCUCCCACCUCGAGUCUUAUAUUUUUGAUUUUUAGAGCAAAUUAGCGAGGCUCUAGGGUAUCUAGGAGCCCGACAAGAAGGAGCUUCUGGUUUCGAAAUUAUACCAGUGUAAAUCCCGAUUUUCACUAGAUAGUCUCUGUAAGUUAGGCUACACUUACUACGCUUUAAGUGUAACUUGUAUUUAUAUUCAUAGUCAUUUUUAUGAAUGUAUAAAUAAUAUUUAUUAGUAAUUCCAGUUAUACUAUUGAUUGGUCUACUUACGGAAGAGUUAUCUAGAAUGGUCAUGUUGACUUGGUUGUUGGAUUUCAUGAAAAGCUAUAAGUCGGAAUGCUCCUGCCUCCCAACUGUCCUACCUAGCUGAUCCUUAUUUGAUAGAACUCUUAGUAUUCAUUGGGAUUAGUGAAAGAUCUAGCCUUCUUUACAAGAUUCCUAUAGGAAAUAAUAAGCAAUAGUAUUAUAGGUUAAUCCGGGUUGGCAUGUUGUUCGCCAGUUGAGUUGUCCGGUUAACUGUUUAUCCUCUGAGAAAUUGUCUAGGUGAGCUCUUCUCACUAUAUCAUAUAUUCGACUAUGUAUCCCUAGUAUAUUAAGAUAUAGGUGCCCUAUAGUAUGAAAUUUGGCCACUAGACUAGCUUAGUUAGUUGCCACAACAAGCUGGAAUGGUUGAAGGACGAAACCAUACCCUUCUUGAAAUCACUUAAAUCGUGUUAAAGUCAAAACAAGUUUUUAAUUAUUUUAGGGGCGAAGUAAUACAUCACACAAGACACAUAAUAAAUUGAAUUUCGACAAAGAUCAUAAAGGAAAUGACUCCAUACGAAUCAUACUACAAUAAAAAACCAAAUAUAGUACAUCUUUGAGUAUUUGGAUGUGUAGCCUACUCAAAAGUUGUAAGUCCAUAUAUAAAGAAGCUUGAUGAUCGCUCAAGAAAAGCAGUGAACAUUAGGAUAGAACCGGGAACUCAAGUGUAUUAACUUUAUUAUCCGGAAAAGCAAACAAUUAUGGUAUCACAAGAUCUAAUCUUUAACAAAAAUUCAAAUUGGGAUUAAGAUGGAAAAAAAUGAUUCUAAAAUGAAACACAUAAUGUUUUUGGUUCACUGGUCUAGCCUUGUCGACACAAGAGAUGUACUAGUUCAGUGGACCAUGAUGACAUCAAGAUGGAACCUAGUGAUAACGAUGAUGGUGGAAGCAAUGAGAGUGAUGUGAAUACGCAAUAGGUCCCCACGACUAACAACAUUACUGAACACCAUGAGUCUCAAAUAAUAUAAAGAGUAAAUUACACGAAUAGUCCCUAUGGUUUAGGGUAAUUUGCGUGUUUGGUCCCUAACUUAUUUUUUUAACUCGGAAGGUCCCUACUGUUUGUUUUUGUUACACGUUUGGUCCCUGUAUUACCUAAAAAGACUAUUGUUCCCUUGAUUUUUUGAUUUAUUUAAAUAAACACACCCCCAAUCCCAACCUCCUCACCUUACCUUACCUACCUCACCAUUUUUUCCUAUUUAAAUAAUAGUAUUUUUGCAUAAGAUAAGGAUCAAACGUGUAACAAAAAUAUAUAGCAGGGACCAAGCGCGUAACAAAAACAAACUGUAAAGACCUUCCGAGUUAAAAAAAUUAGUUACGGACCAAACGUGCAAAUUACUCCAAACCAUAGGGACCAUUCGUGUAAUUUACUAUAAUAUAAAUAUCGAAUCGGGGUGCUCAAUAUCACAACGAUACGAUGACUACGAGAAGAGUUUGUAUCCUGAAAAAUGAAAAUAUCAAACUUCUACUAGCUCUUAACGAGGGAGAACUGUCAAAUUUCCAAGAAUCCAAGGAUAAUCCAAUUUUGAUGAAAGCAAUGAAAGUAGAUAUCGACUAAAUUAAAAAAAAAAAAUGAACAUGGAAACUUGUAUUAAGAACAAGUCAUACAACAUCACUGGAUUAAGAUAGGUGUUCAAAUUCAAAAGAGACAUAAAGUGGUUCAAUAAGAAGUACAAGGAAAGGAUCAUAACAAGGGUUACCUUCCACAACUAGGCGACUUUGAAGAGGUACUCAAACCAGUUGCAUGUACUCAAAACAGUUCAAAUAGUCAUAGCUCUCACUAUUCAAAAGGAUGGAAUUACAUCAGCUCGAUGUAAAAUCCACAAUUUUUCUUAGUGGCUUACAAGAGGAAGUGGACGCCCAUCAACCAGGAGGCUAUGUAAAAAAGAGGAAUACAAAGUUGGUAUAUAUGCCUAUAAAAGCCUUAUAGGGCUUGCGGCAAGCACAUCGCACAUGGAAUAUAAAUCUUGGCGGAAUAAUAAAGAAUAUGAAAUUUCAAAGAUGCAUUCAAUACAAAAUUGUGUACCGAAGAAGUAUUAGAACUGACAUGACCAUUAUUGGAGUAUAUGCUUACGAUCUCGUCAUCACCGGAUUAGUCACGAAUAUCAUAUGAAAAAUCAAAGAAUCUAUGACUACAAAGCUUCAUAUGACUCAUUUGGGCAUGCUCACUUAUUACCUUGGAAUAGAGGUGUGUCAAAGAGCAAAAUUUUUAUUACACAAGAAGGUUAUGCAGAAAAAGGUACUCAAGGAUGCAUGUAUGUUUGAUUGUAAUCCCACUUUAAUUCUUAUUGAUUCAAAUGUGACUUUUUCGAAAGGAGGUGGCAAGGAAGACACCGAAGCUGUUGAAUAUCACAACUUAGUUGGGAGACUGGUAUGUUCUCUUUAAACUACACCAGAUUUCUCAUAUGAGGUUGGCAUUACAAGUUGGUAUAUGUAAACUCUGAAAAAAAAGCAUAUUACAACUAUAAAACAAAUCCCGAGGUAUGUGAAAGGAACCAUAUGUUUUGAAAUUUGAUACUCUUAAGGUGGAUAAGUCAACUUGAUCGGAUACAGUGAUAGCACUCAGAAUAUAGAUCAAGAUGAUGAGAGAAGUACAACCGAUCACAUUUAUUUUACUUAAACCAAUCAUCAAUUACUUGGUGUUCACAAAAUAAAGAGAUUGUUGCAUUUAUUGUAUCAGACAGAAAGAGACAGUGGGAUUGAUUGUAACGAAGUUUUGAGAUUUUUUCUUUGGUAUAAUAUAAUUUACUCUCGUAUUCUUUGGUGUUCAUAUUUUCCAUAUUUAUCUAUUACUUUUAACAUCCUUAUUUGUAAUUAUGGAUGUCAUUAUCCACCUUUGGUAUGGUUGCUUGUAAAUAGUUAUUUGAUUUUAGUUAUUUAAUAUUAAAGUCACUUAAAUAACCCUUUGAUUGAUGGAUAUGAGGCUCCAGAUUAAGGAUCAUGGGUUGUUUGGCCUCUUCUCAUGCCUUUGUAAUUGUCAAUGGGUCCCCUACAAAAGAAUUCUCUAUCAUGGAAGGUGUAUGCCAGGGGGAUACCAUUUCCCCUUUCCUCUUCACUAUUGUUAUAUAGAUUUUAAACAUCAAGUUAUGCUCAUGCUCUCACCAAUCCUUAUUACAUGCAAUUAUAAUUUCCAACUCCAACGUCUACCCCUCUCAUUUAUUCUAUGAAAGUGAUGCUCUUUUUGUGGAUGAGUGGAAGUUAAAUAAUAUUAAAAACAUGGCAAGAAUACUCCAAUGUUUUUACGUCUCCUAUGUUCUAAAGGUGAAUUUCCACAAAUCAAAACUAUUCGGAAUUGGAGUGGAAGAUAUAAUCAUCUUCAGAAGUGUAAGGCUAUUGGGUUGUGAUACUAGUAUAUUCCCAUUCAAUUACUUAGGAGUUCUGAUGGGGGCAAACAUGAUGUUAAAGAAAAACUAGAGACCUAUAAUUGAUAAGUUCCAGUCAAAACUGGCAUCAUGGAAAGCAAAGGCAUUGUCUUUUGGCGGGAGACACACCUUGGCAGUUUACAUCUUUACUAUUUCUCAAUUUUCAAAGAACCUUUAUGUGUAAUUGACUCUGUUGAAAAAACACGUGAAAGGUUCUUAUGGGGUGGUAUAGAAGAUAGAACCAUAAUUCAUUGGGUUGCAUGGGAAAAGGUGAUUGCCUCUAAGGAUGAUGGAGGGCUCAGAGUUGGUUCAUUGUGUGCUCUUAAUCUUGUGUUAUUAGUGAAAUGGAUUUGGAAAUUAAAAUCUGACAGGAAUUCAAUCUCGAGUCGAAAUAUUUAUGACAUACAUAAUCUCACCAAAAAAACCCAUCUCCAACUUAGGGAAAAAACAAUGGGUGAGGGUUGGAAGAGCACUGUGAAAUCUUAGGCAGAAAUUCUAAAUGUUGGUGUAGAUUUGGAUAGUGCAUUCGCUUGCAAAAUUGGAAAUCGCGAGAAUUUAUUAUUUUGGAAAGAAUAUUGGACUGGAAAUGGAGAACUUGACAAACGAUUCUCUUCCUUAUACGUGAUUAAAAAAUCUAAGUAUUGUUGGAUUGCUGAUAGAAGGAACGGAGAUGUUUUGAACUAGAAUUGGGUAAGACAACCACAUACCAGACUCGAGUUGGAUGAACUUCACCGACUAACACAAAUAUGUUAUGGAAUUACACUUGAUGAUGAAGAUGAUGGGUGACGUUUCAAUUUAGCCAAAGAUGGAAGAUUUCAAGUUGAUGUUUUAAGGCGAGCAAUUGAUAAGAAUCUAUCCACGCCUACUAUGUGUAAGUAAAUCUGAUGCAAAAUUAUUCUAGUGAAUAUGCUUUAUACGGAAAGAGUACUCUUAGCUCGAGAAAGGUUAAUAUCGAUCCCUUCUAUUUAUACCCAAUAUGUGAUCUGUGAUCGAGAAACUGUGAUCGGGAGACUGAGACUAUAGAUCACUUGUUGGUUUCAUGCAAUUUUGUUGUUGUAUGGAGAAUGAUUCUAAACUGGUGUGGUAUAAAUGGCGAUAGUUUUUCUCAGGUUCAAGAGGUGAUUGACUUUGCCGAAAAUUAAUGACACUGCCAAAAGAAAAGAAAGAUCCUAAUUUCCAUCAUUUUAUGGAACAAUAUGGUAUAUCUGGAAAGCAAGAAAUGACAAAGUUUUUAACAGGAUUUCGGCCUUCCCUACAAAAACGGUGGAAUACAUUAUUUCGAAUGUUUUCUGUUGGAAUAGAUACAUGGGUAGUUAUAAAAUUUGUAAUUGGGCAUGUUGGAAUUUUUGUACUUUUAAUGUGGUGUAUUUUUCUAUUUUUCUUUCCAUUGUCUUGCAUCUUGCUGACCCAGAAUUUUUAAUAUAAUUUUUCCGAUUCUAAAAAAAAUUAAUAUAGACCUUUUCUUGACUAUCGUUGAAUUUAAGUACAUUUCGUAAAACUAGGUUACAUUUCAUGUGAUUUGGUUUUUCCUUUAUGACAUUGCAAUAUGAAUAUAGUAAAAAGCUUUUCGUGAGAUUCUAAGGCUUUAGAGAGUGGGCUGCUGCAGCGGCUGUAGUCUUGUGUCACGUAGGACGAAACACUGUCCCCUAGGUGCGGUAGAGGUGUGGCUGAGGCCACACUACGACUGUAGGAGGGAGCGCUUUAUGGAUGAUUUUGAUUGGCCACCUUUCUUAUCGUUGCAAACGGUCAAAAAUUUUAAAAAAUAAAUAUUUUUUUUACUAUCAUUAUAAAUACAUCAUCAUAUUAACCAAAAUAACUCACAAACACUUCAAUUUUUUACCAUCUUCUUCAUUCUAAAACCCACAAAAAUGUCAUCAUCCAAAAAUCCUACAAACCAAAAAACACCCACUAGAAAAAUUACAAUUCCAAUACCUUUACUCGAUCAACCGGUUUAUUCGCCCCCUUUCUACCACUAUGGCGGUAUGCUUCCCUAUUUUCCGCAACAUAUCUAACAACCACAACGCCCUACACAACCACUUCCAUAAACACAACCACAAUUUGACCCAGAUUUUGAUCAUUUGUAUUUUGAUUCUCAACCGAAGUUUAUUCCACAAACAUAAUCACAACCACAAACACCCAUUUCCCAAUCCAAACCAGAAUUUGUUCCACAAACUCAACCGUCUAAACCAAGAAAUAAAAGAAAAGAGAAGGCGGAAUCUAAAAUGUGGGAACCUCAAGCAAUGUUAGUAUUAGCACAAUCAUGGAUUGACAUUUCAGAAGACGGGAAGACGAGAGCGGACAAAAAAACAUGAUCGUUUUUGGAUGCGCGUUAGAGCUAGGUUCCACAAAGGAAUGAACCUACACCUAUAUCAUUCUAAACAUCAAGUCAACUCGAAAUGGGGAAAGAUGAACAAAGACUUCAUGUUGUUUAACAAUUUGUGUAACAACAUGAAAUAGCAAUGGAAAAGCGGCGAAAGUGACAAUGUGAUUUUGGAGAAAGCUUUUAACAUUAUCGAAAAGAGCAAAAAAAGACUUUCAAGUUUUUUGAAGUUUGAAAUACGCUCAAAGGCAACAAAAAAUGACAAAAUAAAAAACAAUCAACGAGUACAUUGAUAGUGGAUCAAAACGGUCAAGAACUUCUGAAUCCGAUCACACUUCAUUGGAUGCUCGUGUUGGUUUCGAUCUCAAUGAUGAUGACAUUCAAGUGUCACCACCCCCCCCCCCUCCGACCGAUGGGAAGGGACAAAACAUAAGGCAAAGGCAAGGGCAAAGCAUCGGAGUCAAAUGACUUGAAAGAAAUUGGCGAGAAUGUGCAAGACAUAAAAGAUAGAACGGAUAAAUUUUUUCAACUUGCUUCGGAUAGAGAGACUCGGAAACAAAGUGACAACGACCUGAGAGUGCUAGCGAUGGACACGUCGAAUAUGACCGGGGAUGAGCUUCAAGGUGUUUUGGCGAUGAUGGAAGACGUCAAAAAACGUUACGCUAGUCGUUUUUAGUUUCUAGUUUUUUUGCUAGUUUUUAAUCAUUUGAUGUGUGUUUUUUUAUGUUGUAGGUUUAAGCUUUCUAGUUUUUUAUUUUCUAAUUUUCUAGGAUUUUUUAAAUGUCAUGUUUUUUUAAGUAAUGUAAUGUUUUUAUUUUUAAUUAACGAAAUUUUUUGUUUUUAAUUAAAACUAAAAUUUUUAUUUAUUUAAAAAUAAAAAUAAAUAAAAGAGUGUGGCACCACUCCUUGUGUGUGGUAUGAAACCACAUUUUUGUGGCAAAAAGUAACAUGUCGUCUACAUAGAAGUAAAGAGAAUGCAUAUUUUGUGGCACUACUCCCUCUAGUCUAAGUUUAAUUUUCUCAUAAAAAUUAGACAAAACUGCAAAAAUGGUCCAUGUGGUUAGCUGAAAAUUGACACUUUGGUCCGAAAAAGUUUGGACUAGCACCAGAGGUCCAAACUUUUCAUUUUUUGCAAGUUUGUUCCAAUUUGCUUUGAAAUUUUUUAUAAUGACGAUUUUACCCUUAACUUUUACUUUUUCUAUUUUAUUUAUUUAUUUAUUUAAAUAUUUGACUGGUUAAAAAAAUAAAAAGAAUUUAAAAGAAAAGACAAAACUCUCUCUCACUCUCUCUAUCUCUCUUUCUCUCUCUCUCACUCUCUCUCUCUCUCUCUCUCUCUCUCUCUCUUCUUCUUCUUCUUCCCCAUAAACGACCACUUCUGUUUCUCUCUGUCAUCUUCUUUUCUUCCCCUUGUUGCUGCUUUAUUCCCUGACCACCGAGGACACCAAGAAAUACCCUAACACCAUCGAGGACCAUCUUGCUCCACCGCGUGACCACCGCAACUGCCCACCACCCUCUACUCCCCCACUUCCUUUAUGGAUUGAACCUAACCCAACUCCCUUCCCUUCUCUUCGUUCUCGCCGGAAGGAAAACAAAACAGGAGGCAGCAAGGGUAACAACGAGGACACUAGUACAAAAAUGACCUACGGUCACACUUUUCGAAAAACGGCCUGUGACACUUAUUCUUAAAAGUGUGGCCAAAUGUCACUAAAAAAACUUAGAGACUGUUUUUGGAUACAUUUAAAUUAGAUUGUGUGGCCAUUAUAUAGACAAUCAACACUUUAACCACACUUAAUUAUACCAAAUGUUACAAAUAUUAGUCACACUCGAACACUGAGGCCAUUGGUCACAAUCAGCCACUGGUAUCGAUUAAGAUUGUCAUACUUUUUUUAUGAGAGAUGGUAGAUAAAAGUAUCGUCACAUGAGUUAGUUCUCUGUGUGUCUAUAACCUGGUCCCCUUUUAGCCACAUGUAACGCCGUAAUUUCAAAACAAUUUUUCAUUUAAAAAUAAUCGUUAAUUCUUAAAAACACUUUUCUUAGAAUUCCAGUCAUGAUCGAAUUAGAAAAACAUAACUCCAUCGUCACUUGCUUAAUAAACCAGGAUCCUCAAAACAUGAUUCUUUCUCUGGUGUGUACAAUCGAGCCGGUGCCGUCCCGUGAUCCUGAGAGAAACCUGAAACACAUAACACAAAACACUAUAAGCACGAAGCUUAGUGAGUUCCCCAAAAUACCACACAUAACACAUAUUAGCCACUUGAGGCUAUAACUCUGUGGGUCCGUGGACCCUACUCUAUGAACCCUCUGGUUCUAACUCUGUGAACCUUCCAGUUCUAACUCUGUAAACAUGCACAACAUAAAUCACAUAGAAAUAAUGCAGCACAACACAUAACAUACAUAGCAUACAAAUACUCUGUCACAUAACUCUGGUUACCUACUCAAGGUAAAGUAUAGUGGGAAGACUCACCUGGCAAGCAGAAAGCAAAUAUCCCCACACUUGAAUCUCGAACUCGCCACCACCUAACACAUAAGGCAAAUACUCUCAUGAAUAUAACUCUCGAGACUAGAAUCAACCCUCUCUUGGCACCCUCUUAAGGGUAAAAGACCAUUUUACCCCUCUCUUGGCCUAAAGGCCACAUCGCUGACCAAACCCUAAAAGUCAACAAAAGUCAACGGUCAACGCUGACCGGACUCGGCGAGUGCACUAGGGCGAGUCAGCGAGUCUACACAUGUCCAAUGACUCGCUAAGUGGUUAAGGACAAUCUUUAUGCUACUCGCCGAGUCUGUUCUUCGGACUCGGCAAGUCUAAGCCAUGCAUGAACUCAAACUCACUCCUGAGGUCAGAUCCGUUCCAGUAACUCAUAGAUCCAGUCCUUCCAAGCACAUUCAUCACGUAAAGUUACAAUCUUGGUGCUCAUGCAAAGGUCCAAAGGCCUUAUUUGAUGAUAUGGUCUCUAGAAUGCUAUUCUAAGCUCAUGGCCUCCAUUAACACUCAUAAAGCUUGAGGGAAAAGAGUCUCUGGNNNNNNNNNNNNNNNUCUAGAUAUAAAGCAUCAUCACAAGAAGAGGCCAAUUACUCCAUGGAUCUUUCCACCAAGAAACCCUAAUUCUAAGAUUUACACCAAGGACCGAGAAAGGAAUGAAAUGUUACCUCAAAUGAAGUCUCUGUGCUCAAUAAUCACUGGAUUAGCACCUCCUUUGGUCUCUUCUUGCCUUGAUCCUCUUCUAUAUGCAUAAUCACCCACAAAUAAUCAAGGAUCUUCCUCUUCUCUCUCACAAAAAGCUCAAGGACUCUUUUAGGGUUCUCUCUGGGGUUGGUGGCCGCAAAUGACGGCCAUAAGCCCCUUUAAAUAGGUCUCAUACCCUGAAAUUUAGGGUUUCAUUAAACAGCAUGGACUCGCCGAGUCCACCUUUUGGACUCGCCGAGUCCGGACGCGAACCCUUUCCCAAACCGCGAUCAUACUCGGCGAGUUUGAGCUCCAACUCGCCGAGUCUCCUCACAAAACACCAAAAAUUAGAAGAAUAAAUUAAUACCUGGGAAUCCGAGCUGUUACAAUUCUCCCCCACUAGAACUAGACUUUGCCCUCGAAGUCUCGCUCUGCAAAUAACUCCGGAUGCUGCUCACGCAUCUCAUGCUCCGGCUCCCUAGUCAUCUCGGACCCCUUACGAUGUUGCCACUGAACCAAAACCAAGGGUACCUCCUUGUUCCUCAGAACCUUAAUUUUCUGAUCUCUGAUUGCUACUGGUCGCUCAGCAUAAUUCAGGCUCACAUCCACCUGAAUAUCCUUUAAUGGAACCACUGCCGACUCAUCGACUAUACCCUUCCUUAGUUGCGACACAUGGAAAGUGUCGUGAAUCUGUCCCAACUAUGCUGGCAAAUCCAAACGAUAGGCUACCCGGCCUACCCUCGCGAUCACUCGGAAUGGACCAAUAUAUUAGGGCCCCAACUUGCCCCGAAAUCGAACACACAUGCCCGGAGCAUGUCUUCGAGCGUCUGAAACGUUCGCUCGCUCUGAAGUGUCCUCAGACAUCACCAUGAUAAGCUCUAGCUCAUUUCUCAUAUCCCUCUUCGAGACUGAGAACCAGGUCAGCUUUUUACUCACAGCUGAGCCUCCAAAGGUCACCCAUAUCAUGAUCCAAAUAUCCCACUAACUUCCUCCCCGUGACCACUAUCCCGGCCCAGGGACACGCAAGUCACAAAAUUCUCUUUUCCUCAUGCGAGAAAAUACAAUCCAACCGAGGAUCGUCUCAACUCUGAUCUCUGGUUUCUGCUGCGCAUAUCCCUUGCGCAUCUCGCCGCAUCUCCCGACAGAGACGGAGACCCCAGUCUCGCCCCCGGUUCAACACCCAGGCUCCAAAAACUCAAUACUAGGGCUACUCAAGCCCAAAACUCUUCCACAUCAUACACUGAUCGGAGAACACUCCCUCAUCACAUUCUCUUGCCAUCUAGUGAGUACUAUGGCUCCCGGCAACAUCAUGAUGACCUCUUAAUGACUAGCGAGUACUACGACUCCCUGCAGUACCACAUCACUCCCUGACUAGUGAGUACUACGGCUCCCCGCAGUAUCACAACACCCUCUGACUAGUGAGUACUACGGCACCCCGCAGUACCACAUCAUUCCAUGACUAGUGAGUACUACGGCUCCCCGCAGUACCACAUCACUCCCUGACUAGUGAGUACUACGGCUCCCCGCAGUAUCACAACACCCUCUGACUAGUGAAUACUACGGCUCCCCGCAGUAUCACAACACCCUCUACCUCUACUAACUCAUGAUCCGCAGACUAUCAUAGGUAGCUACCCAUACUCGACUCGAAUGAGCAUCACAGACUCUGGAGGCAAUCGACAUAACAAAAUGCCUACCCUUGCGGAGAUCCACUCUCUUAAAUAAUCCCUCUGGAUGCCAAUACUCGAAGGGCUCCCACUAGAUCCAUAGAUACUUGACAUACCACAAGUUGUCUCAACUCAAGAUUCACGAAUAACUCUGAAAUAAAGAUAUCAUACCCGGAUACCUCGGAACACCCCAACAAAACAUCACAAGAUCCUGCCACAACCACUGAUCUCCUGCCCCAAGCAUCAUAUAUACACAAUAAUACAUUUCCUCCAAACCGCAUAAUUAGAUCUUCGUUUCCCAAAUUGUAACUUCGGUGUAUCCCAUUACUCAAUUGGAAUACGAGAAAUCGCUAACGCUACGAAAUACGCUGAUAAUUCUCCGAAACCCUUUUUCCUACCGCUCAAAAUUCAAGCAAGAAUACGCGUACCGACCCGGGAGUUGGCUGCCCAAUCAUUCUCUACCUACUUGCAACAACACUGACCACUACCUGGUUCCUGACCAUUAACCACCUGCUGUGGAGACAUUCAUCCUUCUCAAACAAGUACUUCCCGCAUUAACCCACUCUGACCCCUUUCCUCGAUCACCAACAUCUCUGGUCUAAUGAAUUCUUACCACAGAUCUCUAUACUCCACUUAUAACUGCUCUUGACAAAUCUCUGCCUUCUUACAUACGGUACCCGGUUCUCCACCACUCAGGGUUCGAACCAUCACCAAUUAGCACACAACCAUCCCACAAACUAUUUUCACCAUCAAAAUCGCACCUGCCCCUGGAAAGUGCUACACAAUGCCCGAUAAUCCCCUUUAAGGAAAUCAAUCGACCUCAUAUACUCUGAACCUCAGAUGAAAUCCUCAAGAACUUCUCGUCAAGACUGCCUCUAGUCGCUCCAAGUCUCGUACCAAUCCAAUACCAAACAACUCAACUGCCCAAUAACAUCACUGGCUCAUAAACUAAACCACAAAAUCAUCGUACCCCCACCUCAACUCAUCAACAAAUGUUCCAACACAUGGAUCAUCCUAAGAACAGGGACCCACUCCCAUAUUCAAUACCCAACAUAGAUAGAAAACCCACUGCACUGCUAAACUCGACUGAACUCCCCACUGUUACCACUAUAAUACAUCCUACCAUACUCAAAUAGGUGUAAUGUGGUCCUCGACUAUCUCAGUCCCAACUGACUAUCUGUUCAUGAUAAAACACUAUCUCGCGGCACACAUGCUACCUGAUACUCUGGUGGAAAAUCAUCAUCAAUGACAACCUACAGGGUUUACCCCCAAACCCAAAACUUAAACAUCAUGAUCCUCAUGUUUUGCACAUAAACUUAAUUAGUACCACCCAGAUCAUAGAAGGUGACAUCUCCUCUAUCGACUGAUCGCUCAACUCAGACCGAAAUUCUCCCCUCUUUCUGACUCCUUACUAAAAUACUUUGAGAGGCUCUCGAUCUCCCUCUCAAGGGACGCCUCUUCGAACUGAAUCAUGACCGGAUAACCGGAGAACCACAAGCAUCAUUCACUCCAAACCAUGGUACUCAUUCCAUUACAUUUCUUCUCAAUAUGCUCCGGUGUAUGGUACCCGAACCAUAACAUCACUCCUUGAUCUGCUCUGAUGUAUGGUACCCGAACCAUAACAUCACUCCUUGAUCCGCUCCGAUGUAUGGUACUCGAACCAUACAUCACUCCUCAAUCCGCUCCGAUGUAUGGUACUCGAACCAUAACAUCACUCCUCAAUCUGCUCCGAUGUAUGGUACUCGAACCAUAACAUCACUCCUCAAUCCGCUCCGAUGUAUGGUACUCGAACCAUAACAUCACUCCUCAAUCCGCUCCUUAGAACCUCCAGAAUACUCCCUGUAUCAAGUAUGGGUCCUCUGCUUUCAGUAGUACGGGCCCAUACUACCUGCCACAUCUACCCAUACUUUCCACACGGACUAUCCCGGAGCUCCUAAGUAGCUGCUCGACCUUCUAGUUCACCAAUUCCGUCGCGCGCUCGCUCCCCAGCGAAAUUCUCUACCCUGCCAGUGCACUCAUCUGGCUAAGGUUACUCCCUAGGCUCUUCCUAGAUUCCCACACUUCUCUGCCAUCAGCUGCUGAAGAGCUCCUAAUGAUGCCAGCCAUCUACCUCCUGAAUAUCGUCAUAUUCACUUAGUAGCUGACUCCCAUCAUCGAGAGUUCCACAAAGCACGAAGCAAGCAGCAUUCGGGCAUUGAAGCGUCCCCUUCAGCACGAAAAACCUUCUUAGGUUAUUAUCCACUCACCUUCCUAAUUCGUGAUGGAUAUCACUGAACUCUAACAACUCCCCCCCACGUGGGCAUCUGGCUACCCUCUCGGCAAGCUCCUCAUAUGCUCAUAUAGAUACCUCUUCCAUAUUACUUCCCUGCACAAAUCCCCUAAAAAUUUCCUGCUGGACACUCUCGCUCAGCACAUACUCAAAACCACAUCAUAUAUAUCAGCAACCCUAGGCUAAGGCAUCACAAAUCAGGCCACUCUAGUCCUAAAAUAUGAAUUGCCUAGCCUGCCUCUAGCAUGCACACUAUCUCAUAACAUAUAUCACAAAUAUCUCAUAACACAAAAUAAGAGUGUUUUGGGGAAAUCACCGUUCGGGCUCUAGCUAAUUGUACACACUGCUCUUUUUGUUUUCUCUUUGUAACUCUUAUUCUCUUUAUCAAAGCACAUUUCUUUUUGAAAAAUUUUCUUAAACCCUCAGUUUGAGUCCAGAUUUACCCGGAGGUGCAUCUGAAUCCCUCAAACCAAGGCUCUGAUACCAACUUGUAACACCGUAAUUUCAAAACAAUUUUUCAUUUAAAAAUAAUCGUUAAUUCUUAAAAACACUUUUCUUAGAAUUCCAGUCAUGAUCGAAUUACAAAAACAGAACUCCAUCUUCACUUGCUUAAGAAACCAGGAUCCUCAAAACAUGAUUCUUUCUCUGGUGUGUACAAUCGAGCCGGUGCCGUCCCGUGAUCCUGAGAGAAACCUGAAACACAAAACACAAAACACUAUAAGCACGAAGCUUAGUGAGUCCCCCAAAAUACCACACAUAACACAUAUUAGCCACUCAAGGCUAUAACUAUGUGGGUCCGUGGACCCUACUCUAUGAACCCUCUGGUUCUAACUCUGUGAACCUUCCGGUUCUAACUCUGUAAACAUGCACAACAUAAAUCACAUAGAAAUAAUGCAGCACAACACAUAACAUACAUAGCAUACAAAUACUCUGUCACAUAACUCUGGUUACCUACUCAAGGUAAAGCAUAGUGGGAAGACUCACCUGGCAAGUAGAAAGCAAAUAUCCCCACACUUGAAUCUCGAACUCGCCACCGCCUAACACAUAAGGCAAAUACUCUCAUGAAUAUAACUCUCGAGACUAGAAUCAACCCUCUCUUGGCACCCUCUUAAGGGUAAAAGACCAUUUUACCCCUCUCUUGGCCCAAAGGCCACAUCGCUGACCAAACCCUAAAAGUCAACAAAAGUCAACGGUCAACUUUGACCGGACUCGGCGAGUGCACUAGGGCGACUCGGCGAGUCUAUACGUGUCCACUGACUCCCUUGGAUCCUCUCUUGACACGUCGAGUAUUUCUCUGACUCGACGAGUUUCACCUGGCAUAAAUCGUGGGGCCACCACGACUCAACUCGCCGAGUCUCAAGAACAACUCGGCGAGUUCCGGCUUGACUCAGUCCCCCCUGACUCUCCCUGACUCACUGAGUCGACCCCUCAACUCGACAAGACCACUCGCUGAGUGGUUACGGGCAAACUUCAUGCUACUCGCCGAGUCUGUUCUUCAGACUCGGCGAGUCCAUGCCAUGCAUAACUCAAACUCACUUCUGAGGUCAGAUCUGUUCCAUACAAUCAUAGAUCUGGCCUCCCCAGGCAUGAUAAUCACGUAAAGUCCAAACCUUGGUGCUCAAACAACAACUAUUUGCUCNNNNNNNNNNNNNNNNNNNNNNNNNNNNNNNNNNNNNNNNNNNNNNNNNNNNNNNNNNNNNNNNNNNNNNNNNNNNNNNNNNNNUCUCUGGACCUCUUUGGGUCCAGAUCUAAAGCAUCAUCACAAGAAGAGGCCAAUUACUCUAUGGAUCUUUCCACCAAGAAACCCUAACUCUAAGAUUUAAACCAAGGACCGAGAAAGGAAUGAAAUGUUACCUCAAAUGAAGUCUCUGUGCUCAAUAAUCACUAUAUUAGCACCUCCUUUCGUCUCUUCUUGCCUUGAUCCUCUUCUAUAUGCAUAAUCACCCACAAAUAAUCAAGGAUCUUCCUCUUCUCUCUCACAAAACUCUCAAGGACUCUUUUAGGGUUCUCUCUGGGGUUGGUGGCCGCAAAUGACGGCCAUAAGCCCCUUUAAAUAGGUCUCAUACUCUGAAAUUUAGGGUUUCAUUAAACAUCAUGGACUCGCCGAGUCCACCUUUUGGACUCGCCGAGUCCGGAUGCGAACCCUUUCCCAAACCGCGAUCAUACUCGGCAAGUUUGAGCUCCAACUCGCCGAGUCUCCUCACAAAACACCAAAAAUUAGAAGAAUAAAUUAAUACCUGGGAAUCCGGGUGGUUACAAUUCUCCCCCACUAGAACUAGACUUCGCCCUCGAAGUCUCGCUCUGCAAAUAACUCCGAAUGCUGCUCACGCAUCUCAUGCUCCGGCUCCCAAGUCAUCUCGGUUUCUAUACUAGUUGUACUUAGUUAACGAAAGAAAAGAAAACAAAUUAGUAUCGGUUAUUUAUGGACAUGUACCUUUUAUUAUGUGUGUCAAAAUAUGAUGAUUUGGCUUUGAGAAGAAACAAAUAUUGUGUGUGUAAGUAGCAUUUAGUUAUGAUUACAGCUAAUAUAUGUGCCUAUAUGUAAAUAUAGUUAUAAAGAAUAAUAAUGUCUUAUCGGUAUAAUUAGGGGUCAUUCAUUGAAUAUGUUACUAUAAUUAUGUAAUGUUCAUUCUGGUUGUGCUAUUGUAUUUGUAAGUUUAAAGAAUAGUCUUUAUAAAAUGAAAAUUUGUUGCUGUAAAACUAAAAUUGUUUCCUGGUUAAGUUAUUAUACAAAAAAAUGACAAUAUUGUAUGAUCACUAUAUUUAUAGUAUGGUCAUUCAAUGUGUGACUAUAAUUAUGUAACGGUCAUUCUUUUUGUACCAAUGUAUGUCUAAAUUUAAAUAAUAGUCUUCACUAGUCAACCAUUUGACUUAUAUAAAGUCAUUGACUACCAUCCAAACUGCAUAAGUUAUUAUUAGAGUUUGGGAAAGUUUUUGCAAAAAAAAAUGUCAUGAUUUUUGUUUGAAGACGGUUGGAAUUGCCCACAUCAAAUGAGUUUUGGUUAUAUAUCAUUUUGACUUUUGGGACCUAUUUUGGUCAUAUAACAGUUGGAGUGAUGUCAACAUGUAUGAAAUAUGAAUUGGCAGCAAUGUGCUGGAAACAGUACAAUUAAAGGGAUGGAAAAAUAUACUAAAAUCUUAUAAUUAUAUCUAAACACCAGUUUUUUAAACUAAAAAAAAGUAAUACGAGUAAUAUUGUCAAUUUGGGGCCGAAACACCAUACGGAGUAGUUACUAGCAUACACACCGGAGCAACAUUCCAAUCAAACAUCCAAAGAACAUUUUAUUCUCUUUUAAGGAAGUAACUUCCAAACAAACUUCGAAGAAACACUAGCUUAUACAUCGUAUUUAAUAAACUUUUUGUUUCGUCCAUGUGAAAUUCAUCUUACUAUCUCUCUUAUAUGAGUAAAUUUGGUAUGAGGGAUUGUAAUAACACAUCAUCUUUAGAAAAUCCGCCCAUCUAUUCAGACAUUGCUUCCAUUUGAUUUAUCAAAUCAUCCCUAUGUGAUAACAACUUUGUAAUAUCUUCCCGUAAACUUUGAUUUUCACCAUCUAAUGUCUUUUUUAUCUUCAAACUGUUUUUGAAGUUUUUCACUUUCUAAUUUCUUGAUUCCCAGCAAGACUUUGAUUCUCAAUCUUGAUUCCACAUAAACACAUGAAAGUUAAAAUAAAAAAAUUUGAGUGAACAUAAACAUAAAGCAUACCAAUAUAAAUAGCCAAGAUUAUCCUUUAUUUUUCUAAACCCGAAACCCAUUUCUACAAACCAUUGAUUAGGUUUGACAUCAAAAGAUUAAACAGGAAUAACAACAAAAUCUUGUUUGAGGUUGUAGCAAAAAAAAUCAAUUUAUUGAGGUUACUAUCAUCAAUUUCGACCCAAUUAACCACACUCAAAAUUACAGAUUCACCUAAAUCAUAUCAAGAUAUAUAACAUACGAUGUAUAUUCUUCAAUUUCCAUAUCCUCUUUAUCCUUGAUCGAUUUCUUGACUGCCUAAGCUUGAUGCUUUGUAGUUGUAUAGAAAAAUCGAUAUUUAUUCUUGAAUGUGAAGCUUAUUGCGUUCUAUGAUAUGUAGAUAAUUUUUAGGUUUAGGGUUAAAGGAAGAUAACCAACCUGGUGGUGAUCGAUUUAGUUGGCGAUGGUAUCCCAAGUGGACGACAACUGCGAUGGUAGGGAUUUCGGCGAUGGAGCAGGUGGUUGGCGUUAGAGACGAAGGCAGUGGAAGAGGUAGACGGCGUUGGAGAGGAAGGCGGUAGAGAAGGUGGUCGACGAUGCUAAAGUAAAACCGAAAGGAAAAGACAGAAUGAAGUCCCAAAACGGAGGCGGAGAUGCGAUGGGGAGAUGUCAAACGUUAGCUAGAAAAUAGGAAUCAAUUUAGGGCAUGUUUUGGCGGACAAAGGAAUAAGAACGAAAUGAAAAAAAUAAGAGAGGGAUUUUUAAUUUUUUGUGAAAUUUUUUAAUUUUAAUACAUUAAUGAAUUUAAUAAAAAAAAAUCAUUGAAAUUGAUUAUACAAAAUAGACAAAAUUAUAUGAUUUUUGUUAGGGAUGUCAUGGGUAUAUUGUUAAUUAAUAGAAUGUGUUGUCCAUGUUCCUGAUUUUAAGGGAUUGCAUGUGUAAUUCUUGAAUUGAAACCAAUGUUUGGCUAUUUGGAAUCAACCAUUCGGAUUGGUUAUUCAGAUGGUGUGUAUGGGUUAAGGUGUGUAUUGGUGGCGAUGUAAGCAGGUGUGUAGGGGUGAGGUGUGGUGGUAGAAAUAAGCCUCAACACUCACCCACCGCAAUCAUACUCCCACACCCAACACACCUAACUUAGAAUAGAUGGUAGGAUGUAGGUGGGUGGUGGGGUGGGUGGACGUGUGUGGAUAGGUGUUGAGGAUAGGGUGGGGGUGAUGGUGGGGUUUGUGGCUUAGGGAUUAUAACUUAUUCUUAUGGCCUAUGGAUUAACGCUCAUGGUUUGGGGCUUAUGUCUCAUGGAUUAUGGCUUUAUGCGUAUGGCAUAUAACUUAUUGUUUAACACUUAAGGUGAACGACUUAGGGAUUAUGUUGUAGAACUUAUCGAUUUUGGCUUAUGGUUUAUGGUUUAUGGAUUACUAGAUAUUUCUUAUGGCACCUUGUUUAAGGCAUAUGGUGUAGGGAUUAUGCUUAUAGCCUAGGGUUUAGGGUUUAGGGUUUGUGACUCAAGGCCUAGGGCUAAGGGCUUAGGGAUUAUGGUUUAGGGCUUAAGGAUUAUGGUUUGUGACUCAAGGCUUAGGGCUAAGGGCUUAGGGAUUAUGGUUUAGGGCUUAGGGAUUAUGGUUUCUGACUCAAGGCCUAGGGCUAAAGGCUUAGGGAUUAUGGUUUAGGGCUUAGGGCUUCUGGAUUAUGGUUUAGGGCUUAGGGAUUAUGGUUUGUGACUCAAGGCCUAGGGCUAAGGGCUUAGGGAUUAUGGUUUAGGGCUUAGGGAUUAUGGUUUGUGACUCAAGGCUUAGGGCUAAGGUCUUAGGGAUUAUGGUUUAGGACUUAGGGAUUAUGGUUUGUGUCUCAAGGGAUUAUGGUUUGUGACUCAAGGCCUAGGGCUAAGGGCUUAUGGAUUAUGCUUUAGGGCUUAGGGCUACUCGAUUAUGGUUUAGGGCUCAGGGAUUAUGGUUUGUGACUCAAGGCCUAGGGCUAAGGGCUUAGGGAUCAUGGUUUAGGGCUUAGUGAUUAUGGUUUGUGACUCAAGGCUUAGGGCUAAGGGCUAAGGGAUUAUAGUUUAGGGCUUAGGGAUUAUGGUUUGCAACUCAAGGCUUAGGGCUUAGGGAUUAUGGUUUAGGGUUAGGGAUUAUGGUUUGUGACUUAAGGCCUUGGGUUAAGGGUUAGUGAUUAUUGUUUAGGGCUUAGGGCUUCUGGAUUAUUGUUUAGGGCUUAGAAAUUACGGUUUGUGACUCAAGGCCUAGGGCUAAAGGCUUAGGGAUUAUGGUUUGUGACCCAAGGCUUGGUGGUGGUGGUGGUGGUGGGUAUGAAAAAUUUGUGUCUUGUAUAAAUUGUCAUGUCGAUACACAUAUAAUAAUAAUAAUAAUAAUAAUAAUAAUAAUAAUAAUAAUAAUAAUAAUAAUAAUAAUAAUAAUAAUAAUAAUAAUAAUAAUAAUAAUAAUAAUAAUAGCAAAUUAAUGUGAGUUCGAAUCCUGCCAACAACAAUUUUUAUUUUGUACACCCUCAUGAAACACGAAAUCAGUGUGGAUCCCACGGAAAAUUCCAAUCUCCCUCCAAUAUUAUAUACCUCACGAAAAUUUUUAAUCUCCCUCCAAUAUUAUAAACCUCACGAAAAUUUUUAAUCUUCCGCCACGAGACCGCAUUUCACAAAAAUUCUAAAAAAUCUCUUGGUUGGAAUCGACGACUGCUCUCAAAAGAAUGCCCUAAUUCCUCUUACGGUUGAAGUCGACGAGAACCCCCAUCUUCUAGUGCGCGCCUCCGACGUCAAUCCCAAAUACCUUCGAACACCUCAAGCACUCUGUUCGUCACCAUCUUUGGCUUUCCUAUCUUUGAAUGUCGCACGCAAAGGUAUGUUUAACAUCUAAAAUCGUUUUUUUAAUGGUUGGAGUCAAUGACUUCCCUCAAACACUAUGCCUUAAUUGGUAAACUCGCUCCGCAUCUACUCCACAUCGCAACACACCCCUGACCUUCCAUCUUCGGCGCACUUGUUCGUCCCCAUCUUCGGCCGUCGUUGAUGAUGUUGAUAGCGAUUUCGGGGCUGUGGAGGCUGGGAAAGACGAAGUAACAGCCCAAUCAUUCUGGUUUUCAGCUUGUGGACACAAUAUGUGAAGGUAAUUUCUGUAAGUAUAUUAUUGCUUGUUUCCCAAUUUGCACAAAUAGAAACUGCAUCAGUAAGUAUUGCUUCGAUUGAGUUGAUUUCAGCCGCUGAACGAGAUUGUGUAGGUUUCCUUCCUAAUUUCUUGCUUAAUCGGCGCACAUGGAGGUGAAUUUCAAGGAACCGCGGGUAAAAUUAGGUCGUCUAUCACCAGAAAUUCGAGAGCAACUUGCUCUAUCGAUGAGUUCUUGUCCAACCGAUAGGAGGUGGGUAUAUAGAAUUAAUUAUUGAAAGAAUUAACAGCAAUUCAUUUUUUGUCACUUUCAGGUUGGCAAUCAUAGUAAUAGCAAUUGUUGCUAUAAGAACCUUGUUGGCUCCAAUCACGAUUAAUCAGCACAAGGUUGCCUCAAAGUUAACUGUGAGCUCUACUCAUUUGCCUAACCUAUUUAUUAGUUCAUACAUUUGAAGAUGAAAGCCAAUAUAUGUAAAACAUCAGUCAACAUCUCUCCCCAUCUCUCUCUGGGUGUGUGUCCUGACUCCUGAGUCCUGAGUAUAAUAGUAUAUUUAGUUAUCUUGUUCAGAGGUAGCAUUGAUUUGUUGACAUUUUUGCAUACAGAUUUUGGGGCCAAAAUUGGAGCAGAUUCAGCAAAAGAUGGAAGAUAAGGUAUGCCCAUCAUCAAACUUCUUCUGUCAUUUGUCAUGUUACAUGUUACAUGUUACAUAGAUGAAAAUUUCAUGUUUAUGCUGGUGCACUAUGUAUAAAGAGCCAACUUUGUCUAAAUUAUAAUAUAUUGUUUCAAAAACGAAGUUAAAGAUAUUGAAUAACAUGCUUGUGAAUCAAUAUCCUUAAUUUGAUGCUACCAUAUAACUUUUGGUCAUGAAUAAUUAAUUAUUAAUGCAAGUAGAAGGCCGAGGGACUUCCUGCAUGUGCAGUGGUCUUAAUGUUUGUUUAUUGAAUUUGACAUGCUUAUCCUUUUAAGAAGAUGAAACUCUUUGGCCCUUGAUUAUUUUUAUUAUUAAAAAUUAUUAGUAACCUUUUCAGAGCACGAGUCCAACGGCUAUAGCUGAAGUUGAGGCACAAAAGAAAAGAGUAUAUAUAGAGUAAGCACUUUCUGUUGUUCCUUAGUGUGAGCUUCUGCUUGACAUGAUCAAUGUUAAGCCUUUGUUUUUGCAUGAUAAUAAUGUUAUAAUUGGAACUGAAUAUUUGUGCAGGUAUUCUGAUGCUAUGUAUACUCAAUUGACCAGGCUUUUCAUCCAAGCCCCUGUCUUUGUCAGCUUUUUCCUUGUUGUAAGUAAAACAUAUUAUAUCCCAAAUGGCAGCUUCAAUCUUUACAUAAUAUAUAAUACUACAUUUUUGGAAUGUGUUGUAAGUUUUGAGUAAGUAGUAAUGUGCAGAUUGACAACAUGGUGGAAAAGGUUCCAUCUUUUCAAACUGGUGGGGCAUAUUGGUUCAUCGACCUUACCAUUGUUGAUGCCUUCUAUAUUCUUCCUUUAAUGGUUGCCAUAUCAUGUUGGAUAACUGUCGAGGUAAAAACAUUGUUGUUGAUUGUUUCAGUUUCCUUUUGGAUUCCUUUAUCCUUAUUGUAUAUAUGUUGUGUUCCUCAGUUUACCAUGCAGGAAGGUAAGCGUGGUGGUGUUAGGAAAAACAUUGCAACGGGUGGUGCUGCUCUUACGCUUCCUCUUACAGCAAGUUUCCCAAACAUAUCUAUCACAUCACAACUCUUUUUCUUAAUUAUGAAAAUUCCAACCUUCUCACUUGUUGAAACUUUGUAGUAAUGAAACAAUUGGUUGAUAGUUGAUACUGGUCUGAAUGAAACAGAGGAAGUUUUAUCUUUAUUGAUUUCCAAAAGGUACCCAUUAGAAGGUAUUCCCUGAUAAGGUAAAAUCAGUUAUCAUUUAUAACUCUAUGUGUAUUUUUAUACAAAUAAAUUUAUGAAGAUUCAUUUGACUAGUUAUCAUUUAUAACUCUAUAUGUAAUUUUAUUAUUUGUUAUACAUACAUACUUCUCCUUUAAAGUUGCCCAAGAUGUCGUGAUUCUCUUUCAUUUUAGAGUAGGAGAUACUGAUACAUAAGACAGUUGAGUAAAGUGAAAUAUUUCACAAAGGGAUCAACUAAUUUGCUUAGUGAGGCUGGUGAACUUUGUUCUUUUACCUUUCUUCAUACUACAAUAUCCUUGAUAUUUGCAUUGCUUCAUUUUGAAUCUGUUCUUGGUGUUUAUAUUAGACAUACACAGGAAGCAUCCUAAUUGUUGGCAACCCGUUCACAAAGCUUCCUCAUUUGAUGCCUUUCUCAAGAAGACAAUGAACAAUACAAACAAGAUGAAUGCCUAGUUAUGUUUAGGUUUUCGUUUAUGAUGUGUUUGAUUUUUUAACAAUUAUUUAAAUUCUUGAAAUGAGGACAAAUUUCUUUUCUUUGAUAUUUUAAUUUGGAAUGUAAUGUAUGGAUUUGAAUUUCAAUUAUUAGUAAUGUCAAAUUAUGAAUUUUGUUUUUGUUUUAUAUUGUUGGCUUUCGUUACUUAAAUUUAAAUUAUUUUGAUGUGUCUACAAUGUAUAAAAAGUAACAAUAAAUAGUAAGUUAAAGUGGUUGUAAUAUAAAUUUUGCCAUGUUUUAUAGGUUCUUAAUGUCUCUAAAAAUAUACAAUGGUUACUUUACAUCAAAUUUUAGCAUGUGGCUAAAUGGUUAACAAUAGCCAUAAUAUAUAAGAAUUUUGAGACUACAAUUGAUUUAAAAUGAUAUUUAUUCUAAAGUUCAUGUGACUAAGUUAAACAAUAACAAGAUGAAAAACAAUUUAUGUGACAAAUAAAUACCAUAAUUGAUUGUUGUUGAGACUAAAUACUAGCUAAUCGUCACUUACAUCAUUAAUUAUAUGUGUCCAUUUACCGAAUAUAGACAUGUUCACUGUAAUUAUAUGUGUCAAAAAUAUACCCAAUAGUCUUAAUAUGAUACCGAAUAGUCCUUAAUUUUAUCAAAAAGUGUGUCUUUAUAAUACUUAUGAUUGUAUUUCACUUAAUUGUGUGUCUCUAUACGAUAGGUUAUAGUCACAAAAAUUGAUUGUUUUUUGUGACUAAUAAUUACCAAUUCGCCACUUAUGGAAGUAAUUACAUGUGGCCAUUUAGAAAAGAUGGACACACUCACCAAAAUUACAUGUUUACAAAAGAUACACAACAGUCUUAAUAACAAUUAAACUGUGUGACAAUAUAGAAGAAAACAACUACACUAAAACAUCAUGACUGUCGCAAGUUGGUGAUAUACAGUCACAACGUUUACUAAAUAUAUGUGACUACUGACGGUUUAUAUCACACCCCAAAACCGGAACGGCGGAAACGUUUGGGGGUGGAGGACGUCAUGUCAAGUAUCACGAGAUAUGUAUAUGGUAAGCAAGUAAUGAAAAACCAUUUCAUUUAGAAAGAAAGUGUUUACAAUGUAUGUGUUGACAAAACAUAGAAGUUGUAAACAAAUAACGAAACAAGACUUGAAGCUAUAAUGCUCCAUCUUCUGAAGUCCCAACACGAGCACCUGUCUAAUAGUCUCCUGAGAAUACAAGUUAUUUGAAAGAGUUGAUCAGCAAUUAAGCUGGUGAGUUCAUAAGAUUUUAGUGAUGUGAGUAAGUUAUAAAAACGAGGUUGAAAAUGUAUAUGUAAUGUACUGUAAGCUGUAAAGUGUUGUUUUGUAAACUUUGCUUGUUCCUCUAGAAAAUCAUAUAUUUCCUACUUAAAAUGGGAGUUGAGUAAAAUGACACUACAAGCCUUUAUAUGCGUAAUAAGUGGGUACAAGUUAUAUAUACUUGGAGUAAACAAACAAUCGAUUAUGCGCAUCUGCCCUCAACCUACAACCCGACGGGGUACAGUAAGUAAGGCGGAUAGCACGUAUUCCAUUGGUUGUUAGAUCGUUGUCAUAUAUAACCUUGGUGUAUUCACUUGUUACUCAUGGAGUGAUUUGUAAUGGUUCCUAUAUAUCUAAAGGAGAGUUCUUCUUAAGAAAACCUAUAUUUCUUAUAAUAAAAUAUUGACUAUGGUGAUUACUUUUAUAAUAGCUUUGUUUAUACUGCUAUAUAUAAUUUGAUAUCAGGUAGAUAGUAGAUUGGGUGACCUCAGUGUAAGGCCACAUCCAACGGGAACAGGACGUACAGCGAACAACACACAUCCUACUAGCUGACAGAUACUAGUUUUAUAUAUAAACAUGGUGUAUAAACUAAGGUAUUAUAGAGUUAACUCACUUAAAGUCUUUAAAACUGUACUGGCUUAAUAAAAUGGAUUAAGCCCUUAACUGGGAAAUCGCUAGUUUUGUAUACCAAAAGUACUGACUUUGAAACGAAAGUUUUGUACUAGAAAAACUGUGCAUUGACUCUGUGUCCUAUGACCUGAUCCAUACCUGGUACCCUUAUGAUGACUUAAUGUAUACUAAGCAUAAAUAUAUAUAGAUUCGGGUAGAUAGUAGAUUGGGUGACCUCGGUGUAAACCCACAUCCAACGGGAACAGGACGUACAGCGAAGAACACACAUCCUAUUAGCUGUCGGAAUCAACUUAACAUAUAUGUAUCCUAUAGUGUAUACAUUACGGAAUCAUAAGGUUAGCAUCAUGGUCCUAACUUUUCAAAAGUAGCCUUUUACCAAGAUUCAACUGUUUUGAAAGCAGUCUUCUACCAAGACUCUACUGUUAUGAAAGCAGUCUUCUACCAAGACUCUACUGUUAUUGUCAACUGUAAAGUACAUUCUCCCUAGUUUAUAACCUAUCUCGAAUAGAGAAUAGAUUAACCUUCAAGUGUUACCGACACUUUAUGAAAGUAAUGGGAGAAAUGAGUACCCUGAUGUCGUUUAUAAUGACAUACGGAGGUACUAUCAACCUAAAAACAUAUGUGUGUUUUAUUACGGUCAUAAUGUGAAAGCUAGAACCCCUACUAACCCGCUCUCAUGUAUGGAGAUUGAGGGAACCAUACGCGACCCGAGCAAAUCCAUGCAAGCCGUGUAUUUCACAUUAAAGUUAGAUCCUGUCUGCGUGUUAUCAUGCUAUAGCAAAUUUACUUGUUUGUUAUGUUCUGUUCUGGUAUUGUUUGAUUCUCUUCACUGUUUGUUCUGUUCUGUUCUGUGUGUGCUUCAUUGUACUAGAAGUAAUGAAUAGAAUCCUCCUAAACUAUACCUAUAAUAGUUUACUAAUGUUCUAACUGGACUGAUACUGAAAAGACUCAUUUAUCUACAAAGUUAUGCUUAUACUUUAAAAAUGGAGUUUUGUAUAACUAUAAAGUAACAUAGCCUUUAAAAGAGUUUUGAAAUGUUUUAACAACUUAUAAAUAACAUAAGUAACAUUUUGAAAGAUGUUUAUAACAAACAUUUACACAAUUAUCAUUGUGUUCAACUUGUAUUCCCCCCCUUAAAACAAUUAAAAUAGUUAAAAGAUUCAUUACGGGGUAUGAACUCACCUGAUGUGGGUGAUUCAAACGGGUAUGCGCGUAAGGAUGAGAAGUUCCACGAAUGAAGUCCCGAGACACAAUAAGUCCUAAAUGACAUAUAAGGACACAUAUUGACAUAAAUAUAGUGUUUACAACAACUAUAUGAAAGGAAACACCUUCCGGGACUAGGAAACACCUUAACCAAGUGUUGGAAUCACAUGUGAUUGAACAUAGGAGGGUAUAAAGGCACUUAUAUGAGUUUACUACCAUGAGUUCAUGGCCCAAGGGAGUUUAUGGCCGUAAACUCAUGGUUAAUCAUGAGUUAGUGCAAGUGUGAAAGCUAGGGAAUUAUUUAAGGACAUUAGCUCUAGCCUAGGGUGAGAAAGACCACUUCUUUUGGCACUUUUGGGGUGUUCACGGCCUAAAUGAGUUUACUAUCGUAAACUCAUGGCCAAAUAUACUUAUGAGGGUCCUAAGGGUCAUAAAGAAACAUUCUAAAUUCAUUCCUAAGCCCUUGGAAGUGUUUGUGGCAUCAAAACACCUCUAUUUUGAGUUUUUGGCCCAUAGACCAUUUUGGCUGGAGCUUGCGGCCGUAAUCACCUAUGGGUGAUGAUAUUUUGAUUGUUUUGAGUCCUAAACACAUCUAGGUAAAGUUCUAUGCUUGUCUCUUGGCUUAUGGAAGGCAUUUAGGGCAUUUUGGCACCCUAAAAUGGAGUUCACAGCCCAAGAACUUCCUUGGCCGUGAACUCACUUCUGGUCCUUGAUUUUUAAUGAUUUUGAUGCCUAAACAUGUCAAGGUUUGUCCCAUGUUUGGUUUCCAAGGUUUAGGGGGACAUUGGGCACACUUUGGCCCUUAUAAAGGAGUUUACUCUCCAAGAUGUUCUUGGGCGGUAAACUCCCAAAUCUUGUUGUUUUGGCUUGAUUGUCAUGUUAUUAAGGCAUAUAACACACUUAUAUACACUCUAGUUUGAAGUACUCACAGUUAGGGGUGAUCGGGUGAAGAUCCUUAAUAGAGAAAAUCGACUUUUCUCUAGCUAGAAAUGUAACAAAUGAAUCCAAAAUGGCUAAAUUUUCUUUAUAUAGCCUUGAGGGUUUUUGGUCCGAAUACCAUUUUUGGACUGUAAUAUUCCAAACUCUUGAAGGUUUGGGCACUUAUUGCAACAUAUUAAACCCUAGUGUAUCCUCUCUCCUGAUAUCCUCUGGAGCACUAACCUUAAAACACUCAAACUUAUCCCAAAAGUUUGAUAGUUAGUUGAUACAGAUUUGACUUCAAUUGUAGUGGAUGGUUUUACCGAAUGGAAAUUUUUGGGUUGUCACAUCAUCCCCCCGUUAAAAUGAAUUUCGUCCCGAAAUUCGCUCUCUUAAUGUUACUACCGGCGGUUGAGCUCUUCUGCUUUGUAGAAUACUCACUCGUAGACCUGGCAACUUUGCCCUGGUGUUCUUGAUAGGAUUUAUACUUGGUCCAUCUAUCAUUACCUCGCGUAUACAAGCCGUAUAUAAUUAAGAUUAGUAGGACUGUCGGAUGUGCGACUCUGCCCCAGGUCCACAACCCACGGGGAAAACAGGAGAUAGGGCGGAAACACACAUACUACGUCUGCGUAAUCACACUCAUUUACCACCCUUGCGUAUACAUUCGAAAAUAAUAGGCGGGUUGUAUUCAUCCAUAGCCUCUAUGCCUGAACAUUGGUCUGCUGGACGAGUGGUAUUUUGUGACGGUUUGCGGACGUCUAACGAUAAGGCUUCAGAGGACAAAGUACUCUUCGCACAAGUACUUCGAGGGUUUAGAAUGCGAAAGAUAAAGUUUACGUUUUGGUCGGACCUUCGAUAUGAAAUGACCAAAGUUUCGAGAACUUGCUGAUCGAGGCGAUAGAAACAUAUGAACUCAGUAUGGUGAGGACCACGCCAACUCAUGACGAAUGAAAACAACGGACUCUAUACCGAACAAAGUUUUGGUCAAGUGAAAGAAACGUCUGAUAAACGACGAUGUAUCCCUGGUAUGAUUGGUAUCGUACUCCUAUUAUGUUCAACAAUGUACUCCUUGUAACUAUUCUCGAGUUUACUGUUUUCUAUUUUGAAAUUUGCACUCCUAUGUAUCGUACCGCUAUGUGCGCAUACAUACAAAUAAAAGUGGUUUACCUACUAAAGGGAUACUUUUAUACCAUGAUCCCAUAUGGUACCACUACCAUCGGCCGUCAUAUACAAGUUGCGAAUACUUAAGAUGAGCCAGGCAAUCGACUGAGCAUCUCUGCCUCAAAUCCUCAACCAAUUAAGGAAGGAGACCUAAGCGGAGUCACCCACUCUAAGUCUGUGACAUCUCAGUUGCGCACAACCCUGAUGUAUAUGGUGAGUCAUAAUAGCUUCUCUAAGGGAUCUUUUAGUUCUCUUGAAUAUUACCACCUAUUUCACCAUGUGAGUUGUUAUUGUUACUUUUAAGUGUCAUCCCCAAUUCUAAUCUUAUAUAAAUAUAAAUUAAUUUUUUUUAAAAGUAAGUACUAUUUUGAAAACGUACCACUACUCGUCGACGACUCCGAGGUAGAUUCUCCUGCGGUGAUCAUCAGAAUACAUCCAUCCGCGCCUGAGUUCUUGAUUAUUGGGCAGUCCCUCUUAAUGUGCCUAUUCUCACCACAACCAUAACAGGCUCGGUUUUCUUCAGCUCCGAGGACUUAGGAGAUCGGUUGAGCCGGUGCCCUGCAGUAACGGACUGUGUGUCCUUUUCUGUGGCAGCUUAGACACUGCAUUUCUUAGCACACUCCAGUGUGGUGAAAGUUGCACUUUCCACACUUUGGAAGGUUUCCAGCAUAACGACUGGCAGAUGCUGAAGCAGUAGGCAUCGUAGCGGCGUACAUAGUACUCGCUUGUUGCUCUUGUGGGGUGUCUGGUGUUGUUCGCUUCUUCUUUCUCUUGUUCUCCGACUCCUGAUUAUAGUCCUCUUCCCUUGGCGACUCAGGAAUAGGGACUUUUACACUGUGGCGGACUCCAUGAUCGAUGAGUCGUUAAGCCAAGCGUUUAGCACUAGCGAACGUGGCUGGGUUAGAAGACAGCACAUUUCCUUGGGUCGGAGCUUUCAGACCCCAAAUGUAUCUAUCUAUCUUCUUCUUUUCCGGGGUAAUCAUCUCGGGACAUAGAGCUGCUAGUUCGAUGAACCGGUCCGUGUAGGUCACUAUGUCUGAGCUGACCAUAGUGAGAUCCCACAGCUCUUGUUCUAGCUUUUAGAUCUCGCCUAACGGGCCAUAUUCUUCCCGCAUUAACUGUUUUAGGUUUUCCCAACCUAUCGAGUUUGCCACUGAUAGGGUCAGUGACUUAAUAUGGCUGUUCCACCAUGUUACGGCCUUGCCAUCGAAGCUGCAAGCAGCAAACUUCACUUUGCUUCCUUCGGGGCAUAAACAGAUUUCGAAAAUCGACUUCGUUUUCUCGAACCAUUGGAGGAGGGUAAUGACUCCUUCAGUCCCUUUAAAGGAAAUUAGUUGGCACCUAGUGAAGUCCUUGUAGGAGAACUCUCCCUGGCGCACCAGGGCCUCACCUUGAGUAGAAUCGGUAGGGGCUUCGCCUCCACCUGUACUGGUGGAGUGAUAUUGUGCCAUGGUUGUUGCCAUAGCCUCGGCCACUACAGCAUUCAAAGUUGCUACAUUGAUUUGUGUUGAAGGUAUGGGAGUUAUCGGAGUAUCGUGUCUGGGUGAUCUGCGUGGAGGUAUUUUUGCUAAAAGAAAACAAAGAUGAGACGGAAUAAGUCUAUAGCAACGGACACAAGCCGAAAGCUGAAAAGACAAGGUUAUCCUAGUUUUGGAUGUAUCGGGUCCUGACUUCCACAGGGUUCUAGAAAUAAUUCAUAAAUGAGUCUAUACCAAAUAAACUCUAUAACUUUGAAAUAACUAUCCUCGAAUAAAUAUCUGUUUCCUGAAUAACUGUUACCAGUUGCAUGUAAUAAAAUAAUUCUAACACAUGUAAUGUGAGUAGUGUUUCCACUCGCUCGCUAAAUUAACCUAGUUAAUAUUUAUUAGUGUGACGCGUAAGACGUUUUUGGUUACUUCGGCUGAUCUUUCCUUGAAAUCUUCUCAUUGGUUUGUCCUUGUUCCUCCUGAACUCUUCUGUUGUCUACUAUGAGGAAGUGGUUACGUUUAUCCGGGCUUGUCGUGCGAGAAUGAAAGUGACUAAACAACCUAUGAGCUUUUAAGGUAACUUUAUGGGGUGAUCCUUACGGAAUCUUCCUAUAAUUAUACUAGGUAUACCAGUUGGUAUUGUAUAUAAUUGAAGAUAAAAUAGACCUUUGAACAAUUGAUCCCACCUCAACACUACUUCCUUAAAAGGAAUGGAUAGCAAUGCGUCAGUCACAAUUUCUAUGUCUAUAAGGUCUUGAUUAUAUAUAAAACUUUAUGAAUAUACCUUAUAAGAUUAUAGACCUAUCCGCAAGGGUCUUUUAAGUUAUCACAUAAGUUAUGUAUCUAGGCUAAAAUACUCCUAUAGUAUCCUAACGUAAUGUACUUGUUAUCUUCUAGACUUGUUAUCGUGCUAUCGUAUCAUAGAAUACUCCCAUAGUACUCUAACUCUAACUGUACUUGUUCUGGCGUUCUCUUGACUGGUGUUAUGGUAAGUUUUAAUCCUGUUGCAACACCACAUCAUUCCCAAACACAUGUUGGUCACAACUCAAAUGAAUAUAGUUGAUAAGGCUAUAUUGAUCCUAGCUAUGAUUAAAUAACUGUUCGGGUUGACGAUAGUGUCCAACCUCUAAAUACUUUGAGUUCUGUUCUCCUCGUGAUCCCAGUUCUAUUAUGUACAUGUAUGAGCAAGUCGGUAUAUUUUUAUAACUUGUAGUUAUACUCUAAAAUAUAUCAUUAUCCAAAGCACUUAAGCCCCAUUGUAUUUAUAGACGUAUAUCUUUUAUCGGUUGAUAUACUUAGUUCACUAUAAACAAUGCUCUGAUACCAAUGUGUCACACCCCAAAACCGGAACGGCGGAAACGUUCGGGGGUGGAGGACGUCAUGUCAAGUAUCACGAGAUAUGUAUAUGGUAAGCAAGUAAUGAACAACCAUUUCAUUUAGAAAGAAAGUGUUUACAAUGUAUGUGUUCACAAAACAUAGAAGUCAUAAACAAAUAACAAAACAAGACUUGAAGCUAUAAUGCUCCAUCUUCUGAAGUCCCAACACGAGCACAUGUCUAAUAGUCUCCUGAGAAUACAAGUUAUUUGAAAGAGUUGAUCAGCAAUUAAGUUAGUGAGUUCAUAAGAAUUUAGUGAUGUAAGUAAGCUGUAAAAACGAGGUUGAAAAUGUAUAUGUAAAGUACUGUAAGCUGUAAGGUGUUGUUUUGUAAGGUUUGCCUGUUCCUCUAGAAAAUCAUAUAUUUCCUACUUAAAAUGGGAGUUAAGUAAAAUGACACUACAAGCCUUUAUAUGCGUAAUAAGUGGGUACAAGUUAUAUAUACUUGGAGUAAACAAACAAUCGAUUAUGCGCAUCUGCCCUCAACCUACAACCCGACGGGGUACAGUAAGUAAGGCGGAUAGCACAUAUUCCAUUGGUUGUUAGAUCGUUGUCAUAUAUAACCUUGGUGUAUUCACUUGUUACUCAUGGAGUUAUUUGUAAUGGUUCCUUUAUAUCUAAUGGAGAGUUCUUCUUAAGAAAACCUAUAUUUCUUAUAAUAAAAUAUUGACUAUGGUGAUUACUUUUAUAAUAGCUUUGUUUAUACUGCUAUAUAUAAUUUGAUAUCGGGUAGAUAGUAGAUUGGGUGACCUCAGUGUAAGGCCACAUCCAACGGGAACAGGACGUACAGCGAACAACACACAUCCUACUAGCUAUCGGAUACUAGUUUUAUAUAUAAACAUGGUGUAUAAACUAAGGUAUUAAAUAGUUAACUCACUUAAAGUCUUUAAAACUGUACUGGCUUAAUAAAAUGGAUUAAACCCUUAACUGGGAAAUCGCUAGUUUUGUAUAUCAAAAGUACUGACUUUGAAACGAAAGUUUUGUACAAGAAAAACUGUGAAUUGACUCUGUGUCCAAUGACCUAAUCCAUACCUGGUACCCUUAUGAUGACUUAAUGUAUACUAAGCAUAUAUAUAUAUAUAUAUAUNAUCCAUACCUGGUACCCUUAUGAUGACUUAAUGUAUACUAAGCAUAAAUAUAUAUAGAUUUGGGUAGAUAAUAGAUUGGGUGACCUCGGUGUAAGCCUACAUCCAACGGGAACAAGACGUACAACGAAGAACACACAUCCUAUUAGCUAUCGGAAUCUAAUUAACAUAUAUGUAUCCUAUAGUGUAUACAUUACGGAAUCAUAAGGUUAGCAUCAUGGUCCUAACUUUUAAAAGUAGCCUUUUACCAAGAUUCGACUGUUUUGAAAGCAGUCUGCUACCAAGACUCUACUGUUAUGAAAGCAGUCUUCUACCAAGACUCUACUGUUAUUGUCAAUUGUAAAGUACAUUCUCCCUAGUUUAUAACCUACCUCGAAUAGAGAACAGAUUAACCUUCAAGUGUUACCGACACUUUAUGAAAGUAAUGGGAGGAAUGAGUACCCUGAUGUCGUUUAUAAUGACAUAUGGAGGUACUAUCAACCUAAAAACAUCUGUGAGUUUUAUUACGGUCAUAAUGCGAAAGCUAGAACCCCUACUAACCCGCUCUCAUGUAUGGAGAUUGAGGGAACCAUACGCGACUCGAGAAAAUCCAUGCAAGCCGUGUAUUUUACAUUAAAGUUAGAUCCUGUCUGCGUGUUAUCAUGCUAUAGCAAAUUUACUUGUUUGUUAUGUUCUGUUCUGGUAUUGUUUGAUUCUCUUCACUGUUUGUUCUGUUCUGUUCUGUUCUGUUCUGUGUGUGCUUCAUUGUACUAGAAGUAAUGAAUAGCAUCCUCCUAAACUAUACCUAUAAUAGUUUACUAAUGUUCUAACUGGACUGAUACUGAAAAGACUCAUUUAUCUACAAAGUUAUGCUUAUACUUUAAAAAUGGAGUUUUGUAUAACUAUAAAGUAACAUAACCUUUAAAAGAGUUUUGAAAUGUUUUAACAACUUAUAAAUAACAUAAGUAACAUUUUGAAAGAUGUUUAUAACAAACAUUUACACAAUUAUCAUUGUGUUCAACUUGUAUUCCCCCCCUAAAAACAAUUAAAAUAGUUAAAAGAUUCAUUACGGGGUAUGAACUCACCUGAUGUGGGUGAUUCAAACGGGUAUGCGCGUACGGAUGAGAAGUUCCACGAAUGAAGUUCCGAGACACAAUAAGUCCUAAAUGAUAUUUAAGGACACAUAAUGACAUGAAUAUAGUGUUUAUAAACAACUAUAUGAAAGAUAACACCUUCCGGGACUAGGAAACACCUUGACCAAGUGUUGGAAUCACAUGUGAUUCAACAUAGGAAGGUAUAAGGGCACACUUAUGAGUUUACUACCAUGAGUUCACGGCCCAAGGGAGUUUACGGCCGUAAACUCAUGGUUACUCAUGGGUUAGUGCAAGUUUGAAAGCUAGGGAAUGUUUUAGGGACAUUAGCUUUAACCUAGGAUGAGAAAGACCACUUCUUUUGGCACUUUUGGGGUGUUCACGGCCCAAAUGAGUUUACUACCGUAAACUCAUGGCCAAAUAUACUUAUGAGGGUCCUAAAGGUCAUAAAGAAGCAUUCUAAAUUCAUGCCUAAGCCCUUGGAAGUGUUUGUGGCAUCAAAACACCUCUAUCUUGAGUUUACGGCCCAUGGACCAUUUGGUCAUGUGUUUGCGGCCGUAAACACUUAUGGGUGAUGAUAUUUUGAUUGUUUUGGGUCCUAGACACAUCAUGGUAAAGGGCUAUGCUUGUCUCUUGGCUUAUGGAAGGCAUUUAGGGCAUUUUGGCACCCUAAAAUGGAGUUCACGGCCCAAGAACUUCCUUGGCCGUGAACUCACUUCUAGCCUUGUUUCUUAAUGUUUUGGGGGUCUAAAACAAGUAAUGGUAGUCUCUAGGUUUAGUCCCAAGGCUUGGAGGGACAUUGGGCACACUUUGGCCCUUAUAAAGGAGUUUACUCUCCAAGAUGUUCUUGGGCGGUAAACUCCCAAAUCUUGUUGUUUUGGCUUGAUUUUCAUGUUAUUAAGGCAUAUAACACACUUAUAUACACUCUAGGUUGAAGUACUCACAGUUGGGGGUGAUCGGGUGAAGAUCCUUGAGAGAGAAAAUCGACUUUUCUCUAGCUAGAAAUGUAACAAAUGAAUCCAAAAUGGCUAAAUUUUCUUUAUAUAGCCUUGAGGGUUUUUGGUCCGAAUACCAUUUUUGGACUGUAAUAUUCCAAACUCUUGAAGGUUUGGGCACUUAUUUCAACAUAUUAAACCCUAGUGUAUCCUCUCUCCUGAUAUCCUCUGGAGCAAUAACCUUAAAACACUCAAACUUAACCCAAAAGUUUGAUAGUUAGUUGAUACAUAUUUGACUUCAAUUGUAGUGGAUGGUUUUACCGAAUGGAAAUUUUUGGGUUGUCACAGUUUAACGCUACAAUAUUGGAUAUUUAAGGAACAAAAUUUCGUACACAUUUGCCAUACUUUUAUAACAUGACCACAUGUUUUCACAUCAUACAGACACUACAUUUUAAAGUGACCAUAAGAGCCAUACGAUGGCGUCACCUUCCAUCACACUUUCAGUGAAAAAAUAAAAUGUCACUAUACGUAUAAGGUCACACUUUUUUUGUGUGACUGUAAGUCGUUUUUCUUGUAGUGGGACGAACCAAGAAUGGGGGUGGUGUUGAAUAUAUAUGAAAAAUCGAUCAAACUUCAACCAAUGAUCUGAAUAAAUCUGAAAAACCGAUAUGAAUAGAUCUGAAAAUCGAGCCACAGAUCUGUUGUAAUAAACAGUGGGGCUCGAUGCAAGAAUAUAAAGAGAGAGAGAGGGGAGAAAGAGGGAGUGGUAGUGGCUUACCAAUGGCAGAAAAUGGUGGUGGUGUCAAGAGGUUCAUGGUGUCCAACGGGAUUCCACAUCAGUGACGAUGGAGGGCGGCGAUGGCAGCCCUUCUGCUUUUACUUUCCUGUUCUGACGAGUUUGACGAGAGGGAAGGAGAAGGAAAGAGUUGUGGGUGGUGGGUUGAUGGGCGAUGGUAGGAAGGUAGAUGGGUGGUGGCAGCAAUGAUGUUUCAGUGGUCAAUGGUGGUUUUCCAGUGGCCUCACUAUCGGUGGCUGGUUGUCGGAACUCCUUAGCAGUAGUUCGGUGGUGGCUAUGGGUGGUCCUUUGUGGCUGCUAGUCACGGUCCAAGGUGAAAGGUGGAGGUUGGUGAUAUUUGUUCUAACAAUGGCGGAAGUGUGUGGAUUUAAGGUGCUCAUGGGUAUUAGUCCAAGAUCAACAAACAAGACUCUGUUCUCUUUCACUCUAUAAUUUAUGUAAUUUCUUGUCAUACCAAAAGCAAUCCUCUACACUAACUCAAUGAUUGGGGAGAGAGAGAGAGAGAGAGAGAGAGAGAGAGAGAGAGAGAGACAGAGAGAGAGAGAGAGAGAGAUUUUUAUCUUUAUGUUUAUUUUCUUGUUUUUUUUUUUAAAUCAGAAAAUCAGAAAAAGAAAUAAGAAAAAAAUGAAAAUAAUAUUAACAGGGGCAAAUCCAUCAUAUUGAAAAUAAUCAGAACAAAUUGUACUAAAGACGAAACAAAAUGAAAAUCUUUAACCACUGGUAUUAAUCCAAACCUUUUUGGACCAAAAUGACACCACAAGACUAUUUGUGCACUUUAGUCUAAAAAUUAUAAUGGAACCCAUGGAACACAAGUACACAAUUGUCAUACCACAAGACUAUCUGUGCACUUUAGUCUAAAAAUUAUAAUGGAACACAUGGAACACAAGUACACAACUGCGUGUCACUAGUAUCCAUUUAUCUGACUAAGGUGUGUCAUCAAGUUGUUCACUGACUACUAAUAAUUGCUCCAAUAUAGCAGUUUAUAAUAUUUCUUAAUUUUAUUAAAGAAAUUGACAACCAGCAAAAAAAAAAAAAAAAAAAUACCAGACUCUGCAGCAUUCGAAAUUUUAAAAUAUUAAUGAGUUUGACACAGUAAACUGAAAAAUUCACUAUGUAGGUUUCCCAAACGUUUAACCAUUUUUUUUAUGAUGAUGAUCAAACAAUCAACCCAUUUCUUUUAUUAAUAACACUUUCACUUGGAUGUUUUAAAAUAUCUUAUUAGAUUAAGUAUCAUAAAUUCGUGAAUUAUUUCGACGUGCCGCAUAUGGAAGCGUGCAUAUGCGUGUCGCAAUUGUAUACAUCAGAAAGAAAUACGAGAUGUUCCAAACAAAUGGUUAAAUACUUUUGAGCAGAUCACGUGAGUGGAAAAGAUUAAUAUCAAGAUUUUUGAAAUAUCCAAGACAGUUUUAUAAAGUGGGAUUAAUUUGACUUUAAGUUUUCAAAUAUGAAAUGAUCAAAUUGUGUUUUGAUCCUUGCAAGUUGAUGAAAUGGACUUGUACAGUCCCUUUCCAAUAACGUUGACCAACAGUUACCUACACACCCCUGUAUUUCUGCCCGACUUUUUAACAACAUAUGAAAGACAUGCUGUACAAUAACCAAACAUAAAUAUCGAACAUACAACAAUAAAGAUGCCGAAUUUAUGUCUUACUAUUGUUUGUGGUGUUUGAUUGUGGUAUCACUUCUGAUUUUUAAAUUUAAACAUUGGUAUUGGUUUUGACGUUUUAAACUAUAAGGGAUUUUAUGUUGUAAAUUUUUGUAAGAAAAAUGUUCUUAUUAAAGCAUCAAGAAAAUAUUAAUUCAGGUCGAUAUUGGGAAAUGUCACACGAACACCUCGUCGGUCUCAUAGUUUAAAAUUGCAAAAACAAGCAAGUGUAUAUAGUGAGCACUUAAUACACUUUACACUUCCAACUUGAUUUACAAAUUAUGGAGCUUGUUUAGACAAUGAACACAUAGGUCACUCUACAUUCCCAUCUCAUUCUCGUAGGUACCAACUAUGAACCACACACGGAGUAGCAAUUCUAACGUGUAUACGAGGCUUGUCUAGAAUCUCAUCAUCAUUAAGGUGCUAUUUGUUUUAUCGAAACAAAAAUUCAUAAAGUCUGCAGACCAUCUCUGCAACCCUCUGCAGCAGAAGAGGUGAACCAAACGGCUGCAGACUGUAAUAAGAAGCGUGUUUGUUUUUUAACAUCUGAAGGCUGCUGUAGAUAUUUAAAAUUAAAAUAAACUGAUUUAAUAAACCGAAAAUAGUUUUUCAAUACCGAAAAUCCAAGGUUGUAAAAAAGGUCGACAUUAGCUAGUCGGUAGACCGGGGUCGGCUAGGCGGAGAUUUAUCUGGGGAUUAAUCGAGGACCAUUAAUUGCUAAUUUAUUGAAUUUUAAAAAAUUAAAUAUGAUUAAUAUCAUAUCAAGAUUCGUAAAUAUCACUAAUAUGAUAACAAAAUAAGUUAAUAUGAUUAAUACAACACUAUGCCUUAAAAUAGUUUCUAUUGAAAUAAAACUUUUUCAAAAUGUUAAAAUUUCAUCGUUUUAUAAUGUUUCACUCAUUAUGUAUGUAGGGAUUAAUCGCUAGGCGCCCUCUAAUCGGUGGAGUAGCGCCUACGGAUUAAUCGGGACCUAGUCGAGAUUUUUACAACAGUGCGAAAAUCUAAUAAUUCUAGUUUUAAAACAUUGAAAUAAAAUUCAUACAACCGAAUUAGUCUUACAAUAACAUUUUGAAAUAAAAUUCAUACAACCAAACUUUAAUAAUUCUCAUUCCAUAUUGUACAUCAAUUGCUCGGCAAUUUCAUCCCGUAACUGGAUCAUAUAUUCACGGUCCGCUACAGUACUGUGUGUUUGAAUCUCAUUUUCAUCACCAUCAAUAACUAAAUAAUUAUUCCGAAGCGAGACAUUUUGUGAAAACCCGAAAUUUCCAUUCUGAACAAACCAUAUCAAGCCAAUAGAAGUAGAACAGUUUCAGUGAAAAUUCAGACUUCGAGUAUAAGUUUGGCAGUUUUCAGGUUUUACACUUAAGGAGAUAUUAGGAGAGUGGAUGCACUAGGGUUUUGAGGAACACUGUUAUUCCAAUACUCUAAGAUAUUAGAGUUCAUUCCGGGAAUAAAAAUAUUUUCUGCCAAAAAUCUCAUGACUAUAUAUAGAAAACUGAACCAAAUAGUUCAUUAGUUACAUUUCGAAUUAGAGAAAAGCUAAAAUUCUCUCUCACGGAUCUUCGGGUUUUUAUCCCAAACUGUGAGUACUUCGAUCUAGUUAUGUUAUAUAGCUUAGAUUGUGUUUAGAAACAUCAAUUACAUAUCAAAUCGGUGAGAUUCGGGAGUUUACCGCCCAAGAACAUUCUUGGAGAGUAAACUCCAAUAUGUGGCUUAAAUGCUACCUAGUCCUUUCCUCGUGAAUUGUAACUACCUUAGACUUGUAUGCUAGUGUGUAUAUGUCUAGAGAACAUCAAAAUUGGAUUAAGACUCCAAGAUUUGGGAGUUUACUGCCCAAGAACACUUGGGGAGUAAACUCCAUUUUAAGGUCCUAAAGUGUCCCAAUGACCCUCAAAGCUUUAGAACUCGAAAUAGAACCCACCAUUUCAUGUUUAGGACACCAAAAGCAAUUAAAAUCAAGGAUGAAAAGUGAGUUCACAGCCAAGGGUGUUCUUGGGCCGUGAACUCCAUGUUUAAGUGCCAAAAUGCCCUUAAAACCUUCGUUAAAGCCAAGAGACUAAUUUGGGCAUGUACCUAAAUGAGUUUUGGACUAGCUAACACACUUAGAACACCAAGAGUAAGGUGUUCACGACCCAAAAGGUUGUAGGGCCGUGAAAUCCAUAAAAUGGUGCCAUAAACUCUUCUAAAGCCAAGUACAAAAGCCUAGUUUAGUUCCUAGUUAAUUUAGAGACUUGAAAACACCAUAAACACCCUCCCAAGGGAGUUUACGGCCGUAAACUCCAAGGGAAUAUGGUCCCAAGGCCGUAAACUCCUUAAAGGAGUUAAUAUGACACCCAAACACUUGUUUAAACCUUGGAACAAUUUACCACUUGAGUUGUAACAACUUUAAGCCUCAAUUAAUGACCCAAUGUAGAGUUUACGGCCAGGAGUUUACUCCCCUGGGCCGUAAACUCCAAAGAAUAUGGUCAUUAGACCUUAAACUCCCAUUUGAGGUAUUACACUCCUUUGUUGCAACCCAUUAGCCUCCUAGCACUUGACCAAAAGUGUUUUCCUCGCGUUAAAAUGUUUAUACUUGUAUAAUUAGUGUUUUAAUCACUAAUUAUUUAUAUACAUAUGUCUUCAUAUGUAAUUAGGAUCAUUGUGUGUGUCUAAAGUCUUCACUUGACACCAAGCACUUGUCCGAUCCUUCCUUACGAUAACAGUCCGUUCAAUUCCAGUCACUUACUGCAGGUGAGUUCAUACCCCUUAAUCAAUGUUUUAAACUAUUUUUAAAUGUUUUAUGGGGGGGGAUACAAGUAGAAUUAUGCUAAUUAUUAUAUCAAUCACAUGUGAUUAAUAAGCAGCAUUCAAAUGAUUGGCUACUCAUUAGCCGUUUUACCAAACAGUUUCCUUCAAAUGAUUUUCAUAAACACUUUAUGUGUUUAAAACUCCUUAUUACACUGUACAUUUUACUCUGUAUAUUACAUUUCAAACUUAUUUACAAUUGUGUUUCAAACAAAUGUUUCUUUAUACUAAACUGUUUUAUCAAACCCAUGCCUUCAAACUGUUUUAUAGAUUGACAUCAAGUCGAUCUUUUCUUAAGAUAAUAAUUAUGUUCAAAUGUUUUACAAAACUUAUUUAUGCUUUUAUAUUAUAAAUUGCAUGCCUCUAUAUGUAUAGUUAUAUAAGAAAUGUUUAAAAGACUUAGGAAGGCUAUCCACCCUAUUUCCUUUUCGCGCUUGAGAUGUGGUCUGGUGGGAUAUCGGGUACUCGUCCGAAGGUCGUUUAAAUAUUAGUUAUAUAUCAUGUGUACAUAUAUAGUCAUAAAAGGUCCUUCCAGUUCAUCCCAUGCCCUUGGGUAGCAAGGGUAUACAUCCAUGUCCAUACGUACCAGUUAGAUUACUAGUAAACUACCAUAUGGGUAGUUUAGGAAGAUACUAGAACUAUUACUAGAACGCAAUAUCAUACAAUGAGUCAGUUCAUUCAUGAGUCAAUACUUUCUAGAUCAUUACUGUACAUUACUAUACUUGCUAGAUAGAGAGAGCAUACAUUACAGCUAGAACAUUACAGUACAUUACUAUACAUGCUAGAUAGAGAGAGAACACACAUAACAGCUAGCACACGUAGAACAUUACAGUACACUACUAUACUAUUACAUGAUCACACUUACAUAAGUACAAUUACAUGAUCACACUUACAUGAGUACGCUUACAUAUACAUAGAACAGGCGUCACUAGGUGCUAUAGCAUGGAACCAAUUCAGGAUCUAACUAUACUGAUGAAUCACAAUGCAAUUGUGAUAGUUAUAUCGAGUAUACAUGAUCAUAGUAACGUGGAUGCUCACGGCUUGCAUACAUAAAGUGGUUGUGGGUAGGUCCCAAAAUCCCUUUGAUAGGGGAACGUAUAGUCUGGGAUCUAGACAUCACAUUAUACCUUAUCCCUAAAAUAAGGCAGUUGAGUACCGAUGUAGUUAUUUAUAUCAAAUACUACAGUACUUGGAAGUAUUACCCUAGAUUUAAGGUAAUAGGUACGGUUGUAGUUCGACACUACACCAUAGUACUAUUUCUUUUCCCAUUACAUUCACUUCGUGAACAUUCACACGACGCACGGUAAUGUAGAAACUAUAUUUUUGGUUAAUGAUAGUCAGACUUGGGAAAAUACACAUUCUUACUAGAGACACACACAGACACUAGAUGCCUUGGUAGAAGGCUACAUAAAGAUCAGUUAAGUCUUGGUAGAAGACUCCCUGUUAGAAUAGUAGGAAUCAUAGGGAUUUCUAGAGUUUUUCAAAUGUUUACAGUUGUUUUACAUACAUUUUCAAUACUUACAAAUUCUUACAUACAAAUUCUUACAUACAAAUUAAGACACUAAAAUACUUAUGAUCUUACCAGCUUCAAAGCUGAUACUCGCUUUAAAAAUUACUUGUAUCCUCAGGUCAUCAUAGACAGGUACCGAUGCAACGAGAAAGGAAGAUGGAGCUUGUUCAAGACUCGUCUUUCAUUUUGAUUUAUGCUUUAGUGUUUAUCAAAAUUUGACAGAACACACUUGUAUAAUAAUUCUAUUAUUAAUGAAAUGGAUGAUGUUGUUGCUUGUUUACUACUUUACAUUAUUGUGAUACUGUACAUGACGUCCUCCGCCCCAGAACGUUUCCGCCGUUCUUGGUUUUGGGAUGUGACACAUUUGGUUCAUCGUAUCGUGAAAAAUACUCACCACGUAGUUCCUCUUUUCUUAUAAAAUUAUGAAGUGCGAAACAUGCAAGAGUAAUGUUUCGUUUUAUAACCAACGAGAAUGGUGUCAUCCUCUUUAAUAUUGGGAAUCGUGCUUUCAAGACACCAAAAGCAUGCUCAAUGAUGUUCUGAAUUUUUAUGUGUGCAUGGUUAAAUGUUUCUUUAUUAGUUAAUGCACGUUUUCGAUGGAAAUCUCAAAGCCAAUGUUGGUGAUUUUAGUGUCAUCAUGUCAUUUUAUGUAACUGGAAUUAACAUUGAGCUAAGGGGCUUCAUAAUUUGUACUCGAAUAUAUGUACGGGUUCGUGAGGAGUGCACGCAUGUAUAAAAUCAAAGUAGACGUCGAUUCGAUGACAUGUCGGGGGUUCGGGGCAGCGCCCCUUUUUCGAUGGAAAUCUCAAAGCCAAUGUUGGUGAUUUUAGUGUCAUCAUGUCAUUUUAUGUAACUGGAAUUAACAUUGAGCUAAGGGGCUUCAUAAUUUGUACUCGAAUAUAUGUACGGGUUCGUGAGGAGUGCACGCAUGUAUAAAAUCAAAGUAGACGUCGAUUCGAUGACAUGUCGGGGGUUCGGGGCAGCGCCCCUAGGUCCGGGGUUUCCAAAGGGGCGCCGUCCCUUUGGCGGGGUCUAGGGGCAACUUCCCUAGUGGGGUCCAGGGGAUAGAGCCCCUGGCUAAGGUCCCACGUGGUUUGGGGCAGCGCCCCAAAGACUCAUCGAAAAAUAUAUAUGGGAACAUAGUUGGAAAAACGAAUUCUUGAGGGUGAUUAUGGUAAAACUGAUGAAAUUCGUUAGUUUUUGAAACCCUAAAUCCUCAUUAAAACCCGGAUUACCCUAACUUGCUUCCAAAGGAACUGAUGACGACCCAACCCUAAUAUCAUUUAUUAUAUAUGAACAUCUCAUCCUUUUAGAAGAGAUACACAAAUAUUAGCUCUCGUUUUCAUCAAACUUUCACAUAGUCUUUCUAGAAAUUUGGCUUACGAUUUCUGUGCCUAGAAUCGUAAGUGUCCACUUGGAUUAUCCUAUGAUGAAUUUUUUGGAACCCAGGCAUAUGGUAGAAAUAUCAGUUCGUAAAGUGUUCUCACGAUCCAAGUUAUUAUCCAGAUCUCCGCUACAAAAUUAUAUUAUUAAUGCAAUGGAUGAUGUUGUUGCUUGUUUACUACUUUACAUUGUUGUGAUACUGUACAUGACGUCCUCCGCCCCAAAACGUUUCCGUUGUUCUUGGUUUUGGGGUGUGACAGAUUGGUAUCAGAGCAUUGUUUAUAGUGAAUUAAGUAUAUCAACCCAUAAAAGAUAUACUAACUAUAUAUACAUAAGGGAUUAAAAAUACUCUUACCAAGAGUUUAUACAUUAAAUAAUAAAAUAUUUAAGUAAGUAUAAGUGUUGCAUUCAUACUAAAAUCAGUGUCACUAGGACAGUACAAAAGAAUUACGAUUGUUGGGCAACACAGGUGGGCUUAGAGACAUAUGGUCAAAACUGGGAAUAUAUAGCCUGAUCACCUAUAUUAUCCGAAGGUUGACUAGGAUGUGCCUAAUUUUAAUUGUGUGGUUGCAACAAUGCAAAAAUCUUACCAACCCUACCACAAUGAGAACAAUAGAACAUAACAUUAAAAUUUAAAUACUAUAGGAGUAUUUGGUGUUACUAUAAGUACUUUAUACUUGAGAACUAAAACGGGAUCUUCAUUACUAAGUUGAUAGUUGCUAAGUGGAUACACUAAGGCUAUAUGUAAUUAGGAUGUUAUAGACUUAGAAUCUGUGAAAAUUUUACUUCACCCCUAUUCUGUGUGAAUAUGGAGUUAAGGUCACUUAUUCAAAGGUCUAUCCUAUUUAGAUUACACAUAAC
rnacentral:lncRNA from 1 species